rnacentral:lncRNA from 1 species
CAAACUUUAUCACAUCCCAAGUGGUAUUGCGAACUUGACAAGUCUUAAAGUUCUUGAUCUAUCCGAUAACUAUUUCAACUCUACCAUACCUACAUGGUUGUACAGUUUGAACCAUCUUGUGUCCCUUGAUCUUUCUUUGAAUGCUUUCCAUGGUGAAAUUUCUAGUUCCCUUGGAAACUUGACAGCCCUUGUUGAUCUUCAAUUAGGUUCUAAUCAGCUUGAAGGGGAAAUCCCAGACUCAUUGGGAAAUCUUUGUAAGUUGACUUCUUUUGAUCUAUCGUCAAACAAUUUUAUGGGGAGGGUAUCAGAAAUCUUUGAAAGUUUGUCUCAGUGUAGUUAUGGACGAAUAGAAUUUUUAUAUCUUUUGGAUAAUAAGUUUUCAGGUCAUUUAUCUGAUCAGCUAUGAAGUCUUAAAAACUUAUUUCUUAUUGAUCUUUCAAGUAAUUCAAUAUCAGGUUCCAUUCCAGUGUCCUUAGGAAAUCUAUCAGGCUUAUACGAGUUGGUCAUUGAACACAAUUCAUUCGAGAGUGUUGUCUCUGAAGUUCAUUUUACUAAUCUUACAAGAUUGAAAAUCUUUAUUGCAAAUGAGAACUCCUUGACUCUUAAAACCAGCCCAGAUUGGGUUCCUCCUUUUCAACUUGUUGAGUUGAGUUUAAGUUCUUGGCGUCUGGACCCAUCAGAGUUGCCUACAUGGCUUCAAAGUCAAAAAUAUUUGUCUGCUCUUAAUAUGUCCAAUACAGGAAUUUCAGGUACCAUUCCGACUUGGUUCUGGAACAUCUUUUCGUAUGGUGGAGAAAACUAUGUGGAUCUCUCUUAUAAUCAGUUGUCUGGCGAGGUUCCAAACAUAGUUUCUGCCAACUGGUGAAAACCAAAACAACAUUCCGAUUCAAAAAUCAUGAUUGACUUCAGGUCGAAUCAAUUCAAAAGUUCAUUGUCUCUUGUGUCUUCAGCAGUGUCUACACUUGAUCUUUCCACUUCAUCAUUUUCAGGAACUCUCUCUCACUUCUUUUGUGAUAGGAGUGAUGUACCUAAAAACCUUCAAGUUCUUCAUCUUGAUAACAAUUUCCUCGUUGGAGAAAUUCCUGAUUGUCUAUUAAAUUGGCCAAAUUUAGAUAACAACAAUUUGACAGGGAAAAUUCCAAGCUCUAUCGGGGACUUACUUUCCCUUCAAUCAUUGCACUUGCGCAAUAAUAACCUAUCUGGAGAAUUACAUGUGUCCCUACAAAACUGUAAGCAGCUGUUACUUCUUGACCUUGGUGGAAACAAGUUUGUUGGAAGCAUUCCAAUAUGGUUUGGGCAAAGCUUGGUAGUUCUUAGUCUUCGUUCAAAUAAGUUCCAUGGCGACAUUCCUGAUGAACUCUGUAGUCUCAUAAAUCUUCGAAUCUUGGACCUUGCGCAUAACAAUCUCUCGGGAACGAUAACAAGAUGUUUCCAACAUUUGUCAUCCAUGGCCAUAGCCACAUCAUUUGAGUUGGACAAUCGGUCUGUAGGAUUUGGUAGCCCUGGCAUUAUCCUAUUUUCUGCUGGGGAUAGUUAUCUAGAGCAUUUUGUGGAGGCCUACACAGAGAAUGCAGUUUUUGUGACCAAAGGCAGAGAAAUGGAAUAUACCACAAUGCUUGGUUUGGUGGUUGGCUUGGACCUUGCAAGCAACAUGUUAUUUGGAGAAAUCCCUCAAGAGCUGACCAGUCUCAUUAGCUUACAAACAUUGAAUUUAUCCAACUAUCGUCUGACAGGAAGAAUCCCUUCCAAAAUCGGUGAUAUUGGGCUAUGUCUUCCACUUCAGCUGAACUUGAUUGGAUACAACAACUUCUUCAAUUUCUGCACAUCAAACUUCCAACAGCUCUAGUUAUCUUUUGUGACAAUUUGUCCGCAAUAGCCCUGUCAUUCAAUCUUGUUCAACAUCAGCUUACGAAAUACAUUGAGAUAGAUGUUCAUUUUGUGCAUGAACGGGUUGCCAAACAUCAUCUCAUGGUUCAGUUUGUAUCUUCCAGGGAGCAAUUUGCAGAUAUACUAACAAAAGGACUUAGUUCUCCUUUGUUUCGGUUUCAUUGUACCAAUCUCAUGCUUGGUUCAUCCAAACCUGAGAUUGAGGGGGGAUGUUAGGAUAUAUAUUAGUGUUAUGAGAUUAUGACACUUGACAACAGAUUGUGCAUUUAGUUAGUUAGUUAGUUUGUUACAUGUAUUUGGCUUCUAUAUAAGUCUAAGUGUAAUGACUUCCUGUGUAAGAAAUAUACACAAUAAUACAUUCAUCUCUCUCUCUCUUCUUACUUUCUCUCUCUAAGUUCUUGAUAAUUCUCUCUGAUAUAUCUGUAUACAUAUUAACAGGUCUAACGGAUUGAGUUUUGCAUGGUUCCCUUGAAGCCUACCUUUACAUACAUGAAGAUUAAAACUUGCAGACUCGCAAACCAGAAAAGAAUAAGACUUCCAGAAAUACUAAUUAAAAUUUAAUAACUAACUUCAAAUUAUUACUAGACUAAUUUUCCAUAAGAAGAUAAAAGACAAACACAGAAAAUGGAGCUACAGAGUUCUGGAGUUGUUUCCUAAGGCGGGAUGCGGGAGAGAGAGGAAAAUGGGGGCGGAGAGAAGAAGAGAAGGGACAAUAUGGUGGGCCCUACCUCUAUGAUUUGCUUACUUGUCGGAUAACUAUAACUUCAUCUAUUUUUAUGAAGGAAGAGACAAGGAAGAAAAGAGAGGGAAUAGACAACGAAAUUGCUGCCUACCCUAAAAUCAACAUGCCAGCGUCGACAUGCUACUCAAUCCAUGUCCAUGUCCUCCCGCGCCACCCAUCCAAAACCACCCAUACUCAUUGGCCUUCAACCGUGCCCCGUCACAAUUUUAUUUAAUUGCUCCAUAAUAUUACGCACUAAAUUCUAUAUUACUCUAAUUUACAGGGUGGGGGAUUUGAACUUCGGUGCAAUACUAUGGGGACUUUGCCUCGGCCAACUGCUCCAACCCACGUUUGCUAUCGCUCUUUAGAUAGCUGAAUAUUGGCUUAGCAGGUACUGGUAUGAACUUGAAAACCCAACUAAUUGGCCAAGAUAUGGCUGCAAUCCCAAUGCAUGCACCCCAUUGUCCCCAACUUAACCGCUCUGUGUUUGCAAACUUGUUCAGAAGUUCCACCAUCACCACCUGAACUGCAAUUGUUACAACGAGGAUGCCCCAAAACAGCCUGUUCCCCUGACUCCCUUUGAAGAUAUUAAUCCUCUCCAUAUCCCUUGAAUUAAGCUCAUUAAACACUUGGCAAAACACAAAUACAUUGAAGAUCAAUGUGUUGUUUACCGUCUCACUAACACCAAAUAUUGAUCUGCCUUUGAACUGCAAGACCAAGAGCACAACUAUCUGGAACAAAGCUUGGGGUAAAAGGUUCCUCCACAUGAUGUUGGUGAUCACGGGAUCCGUCUGACCCACGGGUGGCUUUUCCAUGAGCUCUUUGGUGGGCUUAUCGGUGGCGAGAGCCAGAGCCGCCAUUGUGUCCAUAAUCAGAUUCACCCACAGUAGCUGGACCGCUGUUAAAGGUACUUCGCCAGCCGAGGCAGCUGCCACAAAGUUGACCACAAGAGUUGCAACAUUUAUUGUGAGCUGGAAUUGAACAAACUUUUGGAUGUUGGCAUAAACUCCUCUUCCCCACUUUAAAACAGUCACCAAAGUUGCAAAAUUGUCAUCUAAAAUGACAAUGUCUGAGCUCUCCUUGGCCACUUCCGUUCCCUGAAUCCCCAUCGAGAGUCCUAUGUCCGCUUCUUUGAGUGCGGGUGCAUCAUUCGUGCCAUCACCUGUCACAGCUACUACAUUGCCUUUCUGUUUCAAGCAUUGCACCAUAAGAAGCUUAUCAAAUGGCGAAGACCUCGCCAUCACGUGAAUUCCAUCAACUUUCUGCAUUCUUUGCUCCGGCGUGAAGUUGCGAAAUUCUAUACCUUCUACCACUGCUUCCUUGGCUUCCUGGUCAGGCCGGAGUAUCCCGCACUCGCUAGCUAUUGCUUUAGCGGUGAAAACAUUGUCACCGGUGAUCAUUUUCACCUGCACCCCAGCUAACUGGCAAGCUUCUACUGCUUCCCUCACUCCUGGCCUACAUGGAUCCUUUAGACCUACCAAUCCUACGAGGAUCAAGUUGCUUUCUUCGAGCUUUUCGUACUUUUCGUCAUUAAUGUGCUUAUUCUGAACUUGUUUGUGUGCAAAAGCAAUGCAUCGGAGACUGCUUGCUGCCAUGCCUUGAAUAAUCUUCUCAAACUUCAGCCUUUCAUCAUCAUUCAGAUCUUUCGUGACACCAGACGCAUCGUAGUAACUCGAGCAUAUUUCUAGUAUCAUUUCUGCAGCUCCUUUCCAAUGUACAUGGGUAGUAUUGUCGGCCUUCCUUCUCAUCAAAACCCCACUUCGUUUCUUGUGCGAAUUGAAGACUUCAACAUGUUGAAUGACACAUUGCUUCUUCAAUUUCUCCAUGUCCAUGUGCAGCUCUAGAGUAGCCCAUGAAAGAAUGGCUUUUUCAGUAGGACUGCCCGAAAACUCAAAUCCCGAUCCUGAACUAGGCCUAUAAACACUACCAGUUGUGUUAAACGUUACUCCUUCUCGGAUUAAAUCGAGAAGGCAAUCAGAAAUUGAUGAAUAACCAGCAUCAUCUUCCACAGAUUCCUGUCCAAGCCAAAACUUUGUAACCUUCAUCUCGUUGAGCGUCAGUGUGCCCGUCUUGUCUGUACAAAUUACGGUGGCACAUCCCAUAGUUUCGCAAGCAGAGAGCCUCCUUACCAAUGCUUGGUCCGCCAUCAUCUUCUUCAUCGAAUAAGCGAGAGUCAGAGUGACAGCCAACGGGAAGCCUUCAGGAAUUGCAAUCACGACAAUAAUAACUGCAACUGCUACCAUGUCCACCGCGGCAUUCACCAUAUCAUCAAUCUUUGUCUUGUUGCCCUCAAACUUACCAAAUUCACUGUUGUUCUUCGUGUUGCCUGUGAAGUAACGCGCUACCAAGACCACGAAAACUAGGAAUGCAACACCCAAGCCAAUCUUCGCCAUCAGCGGGGUUAGUUUACUUAGCCGCGCUUGUAAUGGUGUCUGCUGAUCACUGGUGUCACGGCUAAUCAAGCUCAUCAUUUCGCCCCACGUCGAGUUCAUGCCAACUGAAGCCACAAGCAAUUCACCAUAUCCAUCGACCACCUUGGUUCCUGAAAACAAGAACGGAUUCAGGCCGCCAUUAACUUCCACAUGCUCACUUUCCCCCGUCAUGCUUGAUUCGUCCACGCUCAACGAAUGUCCACGCAAGAACAAUCCAUCAGCAGGAACUUGAUCUCCAAUUUUCAAGAACACAACAUCUCCAACAACAAUACCAAGGUUCGAAAUCUGUCGCCGCCUACCUCCUCUCACAACAUCAAUUGGAAUGUCCUCACUUGCUUUGGACAACUUCCGGAACUGCUUGCUCUGCCUGUAGUCACUAAGGGCGGAUACAACCACGAUAAGAAAAACCGCGACAAAGAUGCUUCCUCCGUCAUACCAUCCUUCUUUUAGUCCAUGCUGCUUUAUGCCGAAUCCAAGUGAGAGCGCGGCGCAGCCUAAGAGGAUGACAAUGGUAAGAUCCUUAGAAGCUUGCCACAUAAAAUGGAAGAGGCUUUUUGAAGGCGGCUUCUUGUACGUGUUUGAACCGAAUGCUUCAAGCCGGCGAGCAAUAUUGUCACCAUCAUCGUCGAUGCCACGCUCAGUGUCGGUUUGGAGAGCCGAUACAACGCCAUCAAUGCCUUCGAGCUCUUGAAGAAGGUGUAGGUUUUUCUCCUUCAUGAGUUGAGUGAGGCAUUUGUUAUCAAUUUUGAAGCCAUUGUCGAGGUGACAAAGUUCCAUUGUAAGCUAAAGGCAGAGUUUGAAUGGUUGUGACAGAAUCAGCUAUCGAGAGUAUUAUGUACAGAAUCUCAGAGUCAUAGAACCACCUGAUGUCUUCAUCAGAACAGAAGAAAAGGAAAAAUAUCCAUUGGAAGUUGCUGAGAAAUUGCUUGAACUUAGCAGCUAGCGUUGGCGCUAUUUCUGACCUUAUCUGUAGGGUUGGUGAUUGGCGCACAACCAACAAGUCAUACCGCGACACACCCCACCUGCCUCGUCCAACAUCUAUGUAGAAUCAACCUUGCUUUUCCAACCGUGCCAUAUGCUUUCUUGUUUCUUUCAUUAGCUUUUUACAAGUUAGUGGAAGUUUCUUUUUGCUCCAAAUGGUUAAAUAUAAAUUUUACAUCCGUCAUCCGGGGUAGGCUUUAGCCAAUCAAAGCUAGAAAAUUGUCUUCUGAGUCAGACUCCCCACCGGCUGUUGUGCUUUCUUUUUAUUUUAUUUUUUAUUUUUAGUUUAAGUAUCAGUUAGAGAUAAUUAAGUUUAUAUUCCGCUAGGCAUUAGUACUUAAUUUUAUUUUUUAUUCUUAGCGUAAGAGUUAAUUAGAGAUUGUUAAAAAAGUGUCAGUUAGAGAUAAAUAAGUUUACAUUCUGCUAGUGCUUUAUUUUUAGUGUUGAGUGUCGUUAGAGAAAUAAAUUUAUAUUCUAUUAGUCUUCAUGCACAUGCUAACACAGAUGCAAUGGGCUAUGCCAUCCAAACCAAUUGAGGGAAGUCGCAUCGGUCUCAUCGCAAGCACCUACAAUGUCAUUAUAGAUAUAAAAUGUAGAAGAAUAUCGCUAUGCGUCACGAAUUAGAUGUCAGACACAAUUCAACUUUUUAUUAUUACGGGGGCUACUUGCCACUCAAACCAACUGAGAGAAGUCGCAACCGUCCCAUCGCAAGCACCUACAAUGUCAUUAUAGAUGUAGAAUGUAGAAGAAUCUCGACAUGCGUCACGAAUUAGAUGGCAGACACAAUUUGGCAUUUUUAUUAUUAUAGGGGCUACUUGCCACCCAAACCAACUGAGGGAAGUCGCAUUAGUCCCAUCGCAAUCACCUACAAUGUGAUUAUAGAUAUAAAAUGUAGAAGAAUCUCGCAAUACGUCAUGUAUUAGAAGGCAAAUACAGUUCGGCGUUUUUAUUAUUACAGGAGCUUCUUGCCCCUAAAUACUUUUUUGAAUCACACAUUAUGCACGACUUACAAAAACUUUCUUCGUCACACAUCUAGUAUGCAUUUGUAUUUGCAUAUUUUUGUUAAAACGUUAAACCAAAUGUAUAGUAAGGUAUUAAAUUUUCUAAUUUUGCAUACAUUAUUUCUCUUUACGAACCGUACACAUGAAAAGCCUUGUUUUUAUCACACAUGUCACGUUUGACUUGCAUACUUUUUUUUUUUUUUUACACUUUUGUCCUUGAAAAUGCUCUAGAACACAUCCUAUUUUUACCCUCGCUCAAACAUUGAUUUUGGCUUUUUUUUCCUAUUACACAUUGCAUAUGUUUUUAUUUUUCACUAGCCUCUCCACAUACGCUCACGUGCAUAUAAGAAGCUUUCUUUAAUCACGGGCGUUCGCGCCUCUUAAAAUAUGUUUUGUUAGCGGUUUUCUUUUUCAUAAUAUGUUAUAAAAAGAAAAAUAUACAUUGGAAGUUGCUAAGAAAUUGCUAGAACUUGGCGCUAAUAUUGACAGUAUCUAUAAGGAUGGUGAUUGGUGCCCACUCAACUGAAAUACUUAUUUUACCAUGUAAAUUCAGUUGCUUUAAUUGAUUUCUGAAUAAUUUAAAAAUGGAUGUGUUAAAUUGUGAAUUUCGGUUUCAAAAUCCGUAGCAGAGCGCAAGCAUUUUUAUCAGCUUUGUUUCUAAAGUACCCUUAAACUUUAACACACCACUCCCCUACACACCGAACGCCAAAUCCCCAUGCCUUGUCCAACGUCUAUGGAGAAUGAACCUUGCUUUUCCAACCUCCACCAUGUCAUGUUCUUCUUCCUUCCAUUAGACUUCUACAAGUUAUUGGAAGUGUCGCUUGGUCCAUUUAGUGCUUAGAGAUUUUGCAUACAAUCACCAACUCUGAUUAUUGUCUGUAAAAAGCUUAGUGUAGUUGUACAUGUUGCAUACAAUCAUCAGCUUUAUAUUUGCCUUCCUAUCUAUUGGUCUUUGAAAGACGCACAAUUCAAACUACACGAGAAUCGAAAUUUUUUUUGUUCUAAAAAAGUAUUAGAGUUGCAACUUAGUAUUACGAUCUAGUGACAGUUCUCUUCACUUGUAAAUGAAAGGUCUUGAGUUCAAUUCUCACCAAAGGCGAAUAUGAACCACAUUAUUAAUAACCUAUUGCGAGGCUUUGCCCACCCCCACUCCCUUAGUGUAAAUAAUAUUGUUUGUUAAUAUAUAUAUAUAUAUAUAUAGAGAGAGAGAGAGAGAGAGAGAGAGAGAGAGAGAGAGUUUGUGAGGGUGAAAAUAGAAAUAACUAGAAAUUUAGCCCGUGCGAUGCCAACUUGAUGUGUUAGAAUGGGUAACUAAAUGUGUGUAACUAUUGUGUGUAAAUAUGUACAAAGUAUUUAUACAAAACAUGUACAAAGUAUUUAUAAAAUGUACAUAAUAUUUGUUGACAACUCUACAUACAUAUAAAUAGUUGUUAAAAAUCUAGCUACUCCUAUUUCAUCGAUGUACAAAUUGAUGCUAGCACGAAACUCAUAAGAAAAAAAUGGAGGGAAGGAAAGAGGAAGAGGGAGCUUUACAGGCACCAAGAAAAGCAGAGACAAAACUUAAAUACCGAUGUCAAUCAAUGAAAGCUAAAUAAUCCCCAUCCUGAAGGUUUUAUAUAACAAAGCACCAAGAAAAUUUCAACACUAACUGUUUUUUCAUACAAAAAAAGAAACAAUGAAAUAAAUUUCCACAUUAGGCUUAUUUCAGAUAUUUAACAUCUUACUUUGAAAUUUCUUCCACGGAAUGAGACUACAGUGUUCAUUGACGACCAUUGUAAACAUAAGGUGGACAACUCUUUGACCAUGUCAUUAGACAAUUACAAAAGCUUACUUUCCAUGAGUUUGUAACUUACAAAAUUCCAAACUCAAUGUAUCAUUUGUGUCCUCAGCUUUCAUUGCAUAAUCACGUUUACAAUUGAAACAUUAACCAAAUCCAAAAAAAACAAAAAUGCGACUCUCUAUGGCUUUCUUAUAACACAAGAAUAUCUCUAAUUAGAGCAUGCCACACACCAACACAUUGCAAUUAUAUAAAGUAUUUUUCUCAGUGGCAAGUAUUAUACUCUCCUUUGGCCAAGAGGAUAUGAAAUUGGUUGAGUAUAUUGUUCUACCCAAUUGGAUCAAUAAGCUUAAGUUUGCACUGUACAAAACCAUAAGUACUCAAGACAUGAAAUCAAAUCUUGCACUUUACAAAUCACAUAUGGGCAAAAUAAUAGCUUUGAAGAAACUGAAAGAAGCAGAAGGCUUUAGAACACAAAUAUACUUGAGGUACCAAAAUAUGGUGCUGAGGAAGUGUUUUCUUCUUAUUUUGAGGGAAGAAGAACGCAGCUCUGAAUUUGGACCCAUUUUCUUAACCCAUGGUUCCUAUAACCCAUAAAUAAUUUUAGUGUCGUUCAAAUAACAAAUACCCCAGAUGAAUUGAAAAACUGCAGAGAUUAGUUUCAUGAAUACAUACUGAAGCCGAAAGCCAUAGUUAAUCUAAACAGAGGGUUUAUUUAAUCUAAAAAGAGGCAAAGACAUACAUACCAAUCCUCCGAAUGUUCUCUGCACAAUGUUCUGCUUCAAGAAUGUACGACGGCUUCCCCUGCAGUACAAACUCCCACCCAAAGCACAUGCCACCAUGCUCUUCCCUGAACAAACAAAAUAAAUUAUACACAAGUAAUGAGCAACUUUCUUUCGGCAUCAUAAUUAAUCUAUAGUGUUGUUCAAUAAUAUACUACCACCAUUUUAACACAAGUAUGAUUCUAAAUUACAUCUGUUCUUAUAAAAAAAAGUUUAUAUACAUAAAUUUCAAUAUGUCUGCUUACAAUUUUUAAAGGGAAUAGUGGUGAUAAGAUUAGGGAUAUGCUUUAGACAUCAACGCCUUAUGGAUAGCCCUUCUCAAUCCUUCAAGUGUAGUCUAGUCCUUCAUAUUAAGCAUGGCCUAAAUGCUGUAACAAUCCAAGAUAACUUGUAUGGAAAUGAAUUGACAAUGAAGGUGGGUUUUUGUCUUUUGGGUGAUCUCAUGAUGCAAACGUAUACUGGAGGAUAGGUAGCUAAAGCUAUUUAUGCUUCGUUCACUUUUUAGUAUCUAUUUGUAAAGUGCGAAGUUCUUACCUCAAAGUUUGCCUUAUAUGUGACAGCUUUCUCCAUGUAUGCACCAUUGAAAGUUGAACUACUGAAAUCAGAUUCCCUCAUAUCUGCUGAUGUUAAAUUGGCUCUUCUGCAUCAGUCAGUUACAUUGAUGUGAAAAUGCAGAUACUAAUGACAAAAUUAGUCUUGUUCUUUUCAAAUCAAAUACAUUAGCUUUAGCAGGUCGUUCAUUAUGGAGGGUAGCUGACAAAUGCAACAAAGAAAAACUACAAUUUGCGGAGAAAAAAAUUUAAUAAAAACCAAAAUUUUGAGGAAAGAAAAAUUGAAGUUUUUUUCUUAUGUGAGGAACCAUACCAGUAAUUUAUUCAAUCAAGGGUUUUUCUUUGAGCUAUACUCCCACUUUUCAACUGAGAAUGAAAUAACAAAGAAAACACACAAAAUAAAAGGCCUAAUUUCCAAAUUAUUUUUAAAAAAAUUAAAAAUUUAAUUUGAAUCAAACUGAAGAAAAUAGGUCAAAUUAAGUAAAUCCCAGUAAGUGGAAAAGUAUAUGGUGAGUGAUUAUUUACCUUGAAAACUCACAUAGUUUGGAAUGGAUCAUCAACAAUCUCUGGAGACUCCACUGGAUCCACUAUGAUAUCAUCCUGCAUGGUUCCACUACAAAUGGUAAUGCCAUUACGAAAUAACGCAAUUUUCUUUGGAUCAAGAACUUAAAACAAAAAGCAAUUUCAUAUUGUUCAACAAAAGUCAGAAAUCAAUAAUUCACACACAUUCACAGAUCUUCGUAACAAUUGGACAACUACAAUUUAAACUAAGCGCAUAAAAAAUUUCUUGGAAUUCAAUCGAAAUCAGCAGAAGAUAAAAAUUACGCAAAAGAAAUGCACAGUCCUGGCAUUGGAAUUGAAGUACCUGAAGUGGUGUAACUGGGCCCAGCGUCCACCAUUUCAAAAUCCCCAAAUCGGCUUUGAACUACAAAACCCAAAUAGAACAAAAACUAAGCAGAAUGAGUAGGAUUUAAAAUGUAGAAAACACCAAAUAAAAGAAGGUGGACCACCACUUGCGCAAAAACCAUAUUUGAGUGUUAACAUCGAGCAGUAAUAAACCCAACAAAGAAAUCAGUCAGGUAAAACUAACACUCAAUUCAAAUUUUCAAUUGAUUGUUUAAUUAUGUAAAUCUCACCUUCAAUUGUUUUAAAAUCACAAAAGUUGUUAACUAUGUCAUCUAAUAAUUUAAGAAAAUUUAAAAUGAACCCGAUUCACUCCAAAUGCUGAUAUUAUAUGUUCACAUAUAUACUUAUGUUGAUGCACAAAAUCAACGAGGACUUUGGUACAACAGAAAGUGUCAGGUUUGUGACCUUCGCUUGGUUGCUUCGAUCACUAGUGAAGAUAAGUACGUAAAUGAAUAGGGACAGGGAAGCAAACACAAGAUGUACGUGGUUCACCCAGAUCGGCUACGUCCAUGGGGUAGAGGAGUUCUCAUUAAUUGUGAAGGGUUUACACAAAUACAUAGGUUCAAGCUCUCAUUUUGUGAGUUCUAGUGAAUAGUUUAGUACAAAAUGACAUUAGAGAUUAUUGUGGGAGAAUGAUCCCUAUUUAUAGAAGAGAGUUUCUAGUUUUGUUUUGACAUUGACACGUGUCGUGUUGUGAUUGGCUUCUGAUAUUGACACGUGUCGCGCUGUGAUUGGCUUCUGAUGUCGACACGUGUCGCAUUGUGAUUGGCCUCCUAGUGGAAGGGAAGCUCUUCUGGGUCCUUGACAGUAUAACGUUGACCGGUGCUCAGUAGUUUCGGGAUUGGUCAAGUAUGGUACAAACAGUGCUCCCCUAAGUUCCCGAGUGAGGGAAGCUCCUCGGUUGGGGACUUGCAAGAUCCAAGCCGCUGAGUAAUCACGAAACUUCUAAGUACCGAGGUGUGGUAUCAUUUUCACUUGCCUUAUCUGUUUCAUAUGUAGAUGUGGCAUCUUCUCUGGAAGUACUUUUCCUCCAUCCAGGGAUGGUAUCUUUAACCGAUGAAGAUGCACAAGGUAAUGUAUCAAUUUCACUUGAAGCUUACUUGUAGUUUCGGGCUUGGUCAAGUGCGAUACAAACCUAUAGUAGGAGUCCACCAAGUUGCCGAGCUAGGAGAUCUGCCGAAAGAGGUGACAGACAAGGUAAGCAGUCAAACUUCCAAGCAAGCAACCCAGGAUCGGAAGUUCGACUUCGGCUUCUGGUUGAUUGUUCUCCUUCUCCUUGUCUCUCAUUCAACUGCCAGGAUAAGGAAAAGCAAAUGGAUAAGAGAUGAUAUGAGAUACUUUUGCUUUUGAAGAAGUAACUUUCCACAGGCUUAUUCUUGAACUGUGCUGGAGGGUUUUCUGGUUCCCUCUAGAGUAUAAGGCCGACUCAAGAAUUUGAGGGUCAAAACAAGUUCAUCAAAUCUAGAGUACAUUCGACCUUGAUGAUAUGGGAUACUUUUGCUGUUGACGGAAUAGUGAAUGUGGUAUGGAAAGGUGUCGUGUUGUAGUGAUCUGUUUCAGCUCACCGUUGAACCUUCUGCUUCAAUCUUUUGCAUGGCAAAAGUGGUGUGCAACCUUUGCAUUUAAAUGGUCAUUCAGAACAUUCCUUCAUAGUGACUCAUCCACGCUUGGCAGCUUCGGUGUAAAGAGCCAAUAUCUGAUCAACUGUCAUGAGGUAUUUGCCGGUGGAAUUCGUGACCUUGACAGCAGUUGAGGAUGAGUACUCGAGAGCAAUGCUAAAUAAGCAACCAGGCAAAGGUUCCAGGCAGUCAGUUCCAGAUUGGAGGUUUGAUUUCAGGUUCCGACUGACUGCUCUCUUUCUCCUUAUCCUGCAGGUGUGGACAAAGACAAAGACAAAGACAGGGAGAAAGCAUGAUAUGGGAUACUCUUGCUUUCGACCCUGAUGAUAUGAGAUACUCUUGUUCUUGGUGUGGCUUAUUUGCUGAGGUAUUAUUGGGGGGAAAUAAAGCUGAGUAUUUCGAGAGGUUAUGUUGAGGGUGCCUUCUCGAAUGCGAAAAAUGGUUGAGCAUUUUUGCAGGUUUGUCUGUCCGUGGAGGAGGGAGGUCGACAUAUAUAGGAAUUUCCCAAUAGCAAGUAGUAAUGUUAUUCCUUUACCCUUCUUGGUCACAGCAAUGUAGUGGGAGCUGCCAACUUCACGUGGUUUAACUUUGUCAUAGCACUUUGAAAAAGAUGUAUGUAGUAUCUGGAAAGCUGAUGUUGCGUGUGAAGAUUACAGACAAACUUUAUCUAAGGAAAUCUGGCUCUCGAAGUUCUGAGAGCUGUGCCUCUUCGGUUUUCGAACAAGCAAUCCUGUCGGGGAUCUGGCUCUCGAGAUUCGGAAAGCAGUGCCGCUUCGGCUUUUAAAAAAGUAAUUAUGUUGGGAGUCUUUUCUCGAAUGUGAGUAAAGGUUGGACGUUCUGCCAGUCUGUCUUGCCAUAGAACACGGAGGUCGACACACAUAGCGACUUUCCAGUUGUCAAGCAGUGGUGCUAUUCCUUUACUCUUGUAGGUAAUAGUAGGGUAGCUGGAACUUCGAAAUUCUCGUGCCUAAACUUUGUCAGAGAUCUUUGGCAAAGUUAUAUGUGGUACCUGAGGAAUUGAUGUUGCGUGUAGAGAGUGGUGAUUGAACAGUAAGAUUCACGUGCUUUCUACUUCACCAGAAAUCUUCGACAGAUUGCCCGUAAUUUCCGCAAAGCUGAGUAUGCAUGUGACAAGUGCUGACGAGGCUGAAAAAGCAGGUGCUUCUUCGAUUUCUGAGAUCGGCCCUCGUGGUCUCUGAGCAGCCCAGCUUUUAAGAAAGCAAGUGCCUCUUCGAUUUCUGAGAUCGGCCCUCGUGGUCUCUGAGCAGCCUAGCUUUUGAGAAAGCAAAUGCCUUUUCGAUUUAUGAAGCUCCGUCGAGUGCGGAUUUUUAUAGAGGCUGGUAUUAAGUUCCACAUCACAUUUGAAUCUCCACUAGUAGAAGCUCCCUUCUUGCACUUCUAAGAUCUUGAUUUGUCUGACCUCUUCCCUCUUCAACACCUUUGAAAAUGUCUGGCCCCUCCGACCGUCGUUUUGACUUGAACCUUGGAGAAGAGACAGCCACGCCUUCUCCAGACAACAUAUGGCGCCCAUCCUUCAUAUCCCCUACUGGUCCUCUUACCGUUGGGGAUUCUGUGAUGAAGAAUGAUAUGACCGCUGCGGUGGUUGCCAGGAACCUUCUCACUCCCAAAGAUAACAGACUACUUUCCAAACGGUCUGAUGAGUUGGCUGUUAAGGAUUCUCUGGCUCUUAGUGUUCAGUGUGCAGGUUCUGUGUCUAAUAUGGCCCAACACCUAUUUGCUAGAAUCCGCCAAGUUGAAUCAUUGGCUGCUGAAGUGAUGAGUCUCAAACAGGAGAUUAGAGGGCUCAAACAUGAGAAUAAACAGUUGCACCGGCUCGCACAUGACUAUGCUACAAACAUGAAGAUGAAGCUUGACCAGAUGAAGGAAUCUGAUGGUCAGGUUUUACAUGAUCAUCAGCGGUUUGUGGGUUUGUUCCAAAGGCAUUUAUUACCAUCGUCUUCUGGGGCUGUACCGUGUAAUGAAGCUCCAAAUGAUCAACCUCCGAUGCCUCCUCCUUCUGGGGUUCUGUCCAGUACUGAGGCUCCGGAUAACCACCCUCCGGUGCUUUCUCUUUCUGGGGCUCUACCGACUGCUGAGACUUCCCCUAAGCAACCUUUGUGAAGUCUCCCUCUUGUUUGUUUAUUUUGACUCAUGUAUAUGUACAUAUUUGUUUGGAAAUAUUAAUAAAUAAAUUUUUCUUCAUUUCAACGUAUUGUGUUAAAUACACCAAAUCCUUCUUCAGAAAGUUCUCUGAAUUUUUUCUUUUGUCGAAACUUGUAUUGUUGAAGCUUUGUGAGUGAAGCAUGUAGUUUGAGGUAGUAUUCCCUUAGUUUCCCGAGUGAGGAAAACUUCUCGGUUGGAGACUUGAAAAAUCCAAGUCACUGAGUGGUUGUGAGACUUCCGAGUAUCAAGGUACAGUAGCAUAUGGUGGGAGUCCCCCAAGUCUUCAGGCGAUGAGAGUUGCCGAAUGAGGUGUCUUGCUUGCUACUAAUUUGUCAAAGUAACGAAGCCUUGUUUUGAUAUCACACCUUCAUAUAUGCCUUAUCCAAAAAUAUUUCAAGCUGGUUUUAGUUUUGCGAGGGCCCAAAAUUAUUUGUGUAGCCCAAAAUGGCAAGCCCAAAGGGAGUCAGAGUAGAGGGAGCGGUAGCUCUUCAAUAUAACACCAUCAUCUGUAGCUCAAAUCGAAAAAUUGUCUUCAUGAAAAUUGUUCCUUAGCGUGUGAACUACAACAUACCCAAAUUUGAGAUCCAUCGGAGUAGUACAACUCUAGACAUUCAUGUAUGAUGAGUAACUGUUCAUGAUUUUUCUGUUAACCCGUCAGACUUGUUGUGAGCUUCGAAACUCCAUUUUCUCUUGUUCAGAUCAACAUACUUUCUUCAUCGAAGUUGUUCCUCAUCAUCUCUUCCAUAACAUAUCAAAAAUUCAGAACAAACUAACGGUUGAAUAUUUCUAGAUCUUCGAAACACCGCAGCAGCUUUGAAGCUUGCAGAAAUCUGACCGUCAUGUUUGGAGCUUCAACACUCUAACUUCCGUCGCUCAAAUAGAAACAUUUCCUUCGUGAAAGUUGUUCAUCUGCUCAAGAACUAUAAGAUGUCCAAAAUUCAGCUCCACUGGAAUUAGCUUCGCACUAUCUUGAUGAAGAGUGUGUGAAGCUUUUAUAUGUUUUGGUGUUGAAAUUUGGUAUUGUAGGUGAAGUUUUGGUGACACCAUAAAUUGAUUUUGCUUCACACUAUCUUGAUGAAGAUAGUGCGAAGAUUUUGAGAUUGAUAUUUGUCCUCCAUUGAUGAUGCUUUUGGUGGCACCAUAAAUUGAUUUUGCUUCACACUAUCUUGAUGAAGAUAGUGCGAAGCUUUUGAGAUUGAUAUUUGUCCUCCAUUGAUGAAGCUUUUGGUGGCACCAUAAAAUUGAUUUUGCUUCACACUAUCUUGAUGAAGAUAGUGCGAAGCUUUUGAGAUUGAUAUUUGUCCUCCAUUGAUGAAGCUUUUGUUGGCACCAUAAAUUGAUCUUGCUUCACACUGUCUUGAUGAAGAUAGUGCGAAGCUUUUGAGAUUGAUAUUUGUCCUCCAUUGAUGAAGCUUUUGGUGGCACCAUAAAUUGAUUUUGCUUCACACUAUCUUGAUGAAGAUAGUGCGAAGCUUUUGAGAUUGAUAUUUGUCCUCCAUUGAUGAAGCUUUUGUUGAAUUUCCCAAUUUCCAAUUUUUUUUUUUUGGGAAAACUAGAAAUUUGAAAAUGUGGGAGAGACAACGUAUACAAAUUUUGCUUCCACACUGUUGAGCGAGAGAUUGUGAUGCAAGCCACAUCUUGUAGUAGUCGAAGGUUUGAAUGAACCAUAUAAAUUGAAUUUUCUUCGAAACAGUCUUGAUCAAGAGCGUGUGAAGCUUUCUAUGAGUUGUAGUGUUUGCAUUGUUACAGAGGAGAAAUGUCUGAAGCAUAUGCAAGAGGGCUGAAGAGCUUGAUCUUCGUAUACCAUGCACUGAAGCCAUUGUUGGCUUGCAAUAAGACUUUGUUGGUGACUAUAGCUCUUGUUAGGCAUAAGUGCUCCCCUAGUUGAGUUGUAAAGCUUGAGGGUUUUUGAUUAUUUGUGAAUGCUAGGAGUUCACAUGUACAAGUUGUACCACUCGUCUUCUGGUUAGUGGAAUGAAUGGUGGGUUGCUUUCAUCACUUGGUUGGUGUACGAAUGUGAAUUCCUUAAUCACCUUUCAUCACAUUUCAUCACCUGGUUGGUGACAUGAAGGAGAGUACGUGUUGUACAUUUCAUCACCUGGUUGGUGGCAUGAAGGAGAGUACGCGUUGUACAUUUCAUCACCUGGUUGGUGGCAUGAAGAUGAGUUCAUUCUUCACCUGAUUGGUGAUAAGGGUGGCAAGUUUCCAAAUNGUAGAGGGAGCGGUAGCUCUUCAAAUAUAACACCAUCAUCUGUAGCUCAAAUCGAAAAAUUGUCUUCAUGAAAAUUGUUCCUUAGCGUGUGAACUACAACAUAUACCCAAAUUUGAGAUCCAUCGGAGUAGUACAACUCUAGACAUUCAUGUAUGAUGAGUAACUGUUCAUGAUUUUUCUGUUAACCGUCAGACUUGUUGUGAGCUUCGAAACUCCAUUUUCUCUUGUUCAGAUCAACAUACUUUCUUCAUCGAAGUUGUUCCUCAUCAUCUCUUCCAUAACAUAUCAAAAAUUCAGAACAAACUAACGGUUGAAUAUUUCUAGAUCUUCGAAACACCGCAGCAGCUUUGAAGCUUGCAGAAAUCUGACCGUCAUGUUUGGAGCUUCAACACUCUAACUUCCGUCGCUCAAAUAGAAACAUUUCCUUCGUGAAAGUUGUUCAUCUGCUCAAGAACUAUAAGAUGUCCAAAAUUCAGCUCCACUGGAAUUAGCUUCGCACUAUCUUGAUGAAGAGUGUGUGAAGCUUUUAUAUGUUUUUUGGUGUUGAAAUUUGGUAUUGUAGGUGAAGUUUUGGUGACAACCAUAAAUUGAUUUUGCUUCACACUAUCUUGAUGAAGAUAGUGCGAAGAUUUUGAGAUUGAUAUUUGUCCUCCAUUGAUGAUGCUUUUUGGUGGCACCAUAAAAUUGAUUUUGCUUCACACUAUCUUGAUGAAGAUAGUGCGAAGCUUUUGAGAUUGAUAUUUGUCCUCCAUUGAUGAAGCUUUUGGUGGCACCAUAAAAUUGAUUUUGCUUCACACUAUCUUGAUGAAGAUAGUGCGAAGCUUUUGAGAUUGAUAUUUGUCCUCCAUUGAUGAAGCUUUUGUUGGCACCAUAAAUUGAUCUUGCUUCACACUGUCUUGAUGAAGAUAGUGCGAAGCUUUUGAGAUUGAUAUUUGUCCUCCAUUGAUGAAGCUUUUGGUGGCACCAUAAAUUGAUUUUGCUUCACACUAUCUUGAUGAAGAUAGUGCGAAGCUUUUGAGAUUGAUAUUUGUCCUCCAUUGAUGAAGCUUUUGUUGAAUUUCCCAAUUUCCAAUUUUUUUUUUUUUGGGAAAACUAGAAAUUUGAAAAUGUGGGAGAGACAACGUAUACAAAUUUUGCUUCCACACUGUUGAGCGAGAGAUUGUGAUGCAAGCCACAUCUUGUAGUAGUCGAAGGUUUGAAUGAACCAUAUAAAUUGAAUUUUCUUCGAACAGUCUUGAUCAAGAGCGUGUGAAGCUUUCUAUGAGUUGUAGUGUUUGCAUUGUUACAGAGGAGAAAUGUCUGAAGCAUAUGCAAGAGGGCUGAAGAGCUUGAUCUUCGUAUACCAUGCACUGAAGCCAUUGUUGGCUUGCAAUAAGACUUUGUUGGUGACUAUAGCUCUUGUUAGGCAUAAGUGCUCCCCUAGUUGAGUUGUAAAGCUUGAGGGUUUUUGAUUAUUUGUGAAUGCUAGGAGUUCACAUGUACAAGUUGUACCACUCGUCUUCUGGUUAGUGGAAUGAAUGGUGGGUUGCUUUCAUCACUUGGUUGGUGGUACGAAUGUGAAUUCCUUAAUCACCUUUCAUCACAUUUCAUCACCUGGUUGGUGACAUGAAGGAGAGUACGUGUUGUACAUUUCAUCACCUGGUUGGUGGCAUGAAGGAGAGUACGCGUUGUACAUUUCAUCACCUGGUUGGUGGCAUGAAGAUGAGUUCAUUCUUCACCUGAUUGGUGAUAAGGGUGGCAAGUUUCCAAAUAAUAUUAGAGUACGGGUUGUACAUUUCAUCACCUAGUUGGUGGCACGAAGGUGAGUUCCUUCAUCACCUAGUUGGUGAGAAUAAGGGCAAUGUGUCGAGGCACAUUGUGGCAAAUGUCGAAUGACACAAAGUGUGUUGAACCCUUUCGAAGCACAGUUGGCUUAUGUAUGGAUGUGUUGGAAUGUAUGAUGUUUAUGUAUGAAUGUGUUGGAAUGUAUGAUGUUUAUGUAUGAAUGUGUUGGAAUGUAUGAUGUAGAUCCUUUGUAUAGUCUUGUUGACACAUACUUAGAUUUUGUUUUGUAUUGGAAACAUUUGCGUUGAAGCUUCAACACUUGAGUGUUUCAUUGAUCAGAAUGUAAAAGAGUUUAGGGCCGAGUUGGCUAAAUCACAUCUUUAUUGAAUUCAAACCAAAUGGUCUUUGUUACAUAGGAUGCCGAACGGCUGUAGCUUAACACUUGUACAAUGUGAGUCUAUUUGUAAUACUUCAAGUGGUCAGCAUUCCAUGGAUGGCCAAGGGUCUUGCCGUCGGAGCUUCUGAGCUUGUAGGAGCCAGGGCGGCUGAUGCCGAUGACCUCGAAUGGUCCAUCCCAGUUAGGACUGAGUGUUCCUUCACUCGGGACUCUAUCAUAGAGUAAUCUUUUCUUCAGUACCCAGUCUCCCACUUUGAAAGAGCGAGGUUUGACCCUUGAGUCAUAGUAGUUGGAAAUGCGCUGCUUGUAGGCGACAUUCCUCAGGUGAGCCUGAUUUCUGUGUUCCUCGACUAGAUCCAGGUUGAGGGUGAGUUGUUUGUCGUUCUCACUCUGCAUGUAGUUUUGGAUUUGGUAUGUUGCUUGCUCAAGCUCAACCGGGACAACUGCUUCUGUACCAAAAGCAAGUGAGAAUGGAGUUUCUCCUGUGGAAGUUCGAUAUGAAGUGCGGUAUGACCAAAGAACUUAGGGGACGAAUUCUGGCCAACAACCUUUAGCUUUGUCCAAGCUAGUUUUCAGAGUGUGCUUGAUUAUUUUGUUAACGGCCUCGACUUGUCCAUUAGACUGGGGAUGGGUUGGAGAGGCAAAACAUAAGUUGAUGUUGAACUUAUAGUAGAACAUCCUGAACUUCUUGUUGUCGAACUGCCGCCCAUUGUCCGUGACUAUCGCAUUGGGAAUGCCGAAUCUGCAUAGAAUGUUCUUCCAUACGAAGUCUUCUAUUUUUGCCUCAGUAAUGGUUGCCAAGGGUUCUACUUCAGCCCACUUUGUGAAGUAGUCAACUGCAACGAUUGCAUAGCGGACCUUGCCCUUCCCUGCAGGCAUUGGGCUGAUCAAAUCAAGUCCCCAUUGGGCGAAGGGCCAAGGGCUGAUCAUAGGAGUGAGUGGCUCGGGAAGGGUAGUGAGGGAUAGUUGCGUAGCGUUGACACUUAUCACACGAGCGAGAUAUUCUAAUGGCAUCUUGGUGGUAGGGGUGGGCGCGGUGCGGUUUGGUGCGGUUUCGAAUGAAACCACAACCGAAACCGAAACAUUUUGCGGUGCGGUGCGGUGCGGUUUUGAAGCCAAAACCGAAAUGAAACCAAACUGUUCGGUUCGGUGCGGUGCGGUUUCAAACGGUUUCGGUUUGGUUUUUUAGCAAAAAAAUGUACAAUUUAAAAUAUACACCUAUUUAUGCAUAAGACGGUCUUAUUUUUCUCGUAUAUUAAUUAAUAAAUAUGCAGUAAAAUUGUAGCAAAACUGCAUAAAAAACAGCAGCAAAAACUGCACAAAACUGCACCAAAAAAUAAUGCAGCAAAACUGCAUAAAAAAACAGCACCAAAACAGCCCCAAAACUGCACCAAAAAACUGCACAAACAGAACCAAAAAUCUGCACCAAAAGUGCAGCUAACUUGUACCAAACUUGUACCAAAACUGUAACAAAUGACAAUUACUAAAAUUGAGACAACAUCCAAUGCAUUAAAGGAUUUAAACUUUAAAUCCUUAUGCAUGACAUCUACUAAAAUUGAACUUGAUCACCAAUCACAAAACCAAACCGUUUGGUGCGGUUUGAUUCGAUUCGUGUUUCGGUUUCGGUUUUCGGUUCCAAGUGCCCACCCCUACUUGGUGGAGUGUUGGCCAAUAGUAUCCUUGGCGAAAAGUCUUGUGUGCUAGGGAUCGAGACCCAGCAUGAUCUCCACAGACUCCUUCAUGUAUUUCCCAAAGGACACUUUCCGCCUCAACAGGUGUAAGGCAUCUUAGGUAUGGCAGGGUGAAACCGCACUUGUAGAGUUGGUCAUUAAUGAUCAGGUAGCGGGCAGACUUGUAUCGAAUCUGCUUAGCUUGGACUUUGUCAAUUGGGAGGGUGCCAUGAGCAAGGAAUUUAUAAAUUGGGGUGAUCCAACUAUCUUCUUGUUGUAAAUUGCACACCUCAGCGACCAUGGUGCUUGGUGCUGCCAACAAUUCGACAUGAAUUUUUCUCCCAAUCUUGUCUUCCACUGCCAAGGCGAGGCGAGCCAAAGCAUCUGCAUGACUGUUUGCUGCUCGAGGAACUUGGGUGAUCUGGUAGUGGAAGUGCUUGAGCAAAAGUCGUGUUUGCGCAAGAUAUGCUGCCAUAGAGCUAUCCUUAGCAUCAAAGUUGUUCGUGACUUGGUUGACCACUAAUUGGGAGUCACUGAAGAUAUCAAUUCGUUUAACCCCGAGGUGUUUGGCCAAACGUAAGCCUGCUAGAAGGGCUUCGUAUUCGGCCUCGUUGUUCGAUGCCUUGAAUUUGAAACGAAUAGUGUAUUCCAUCGUCACUUUGUCGGGGGUAGUGAAGACUAAUCCUGCUCCGCAGCCCUGUUAGUUGGAUGAGCCAUCAACAUACAGACUCCAUGCUGGGGUUGUUGAUUCUAUCUUCUGAGCUUCCGAUGGUAAUGAAGCUACUGCUUCAGGUGUAGAAGCAAUGUCAACAGGAUAUGUGAAGUCGGCUAUGAAAUCUGCUACAGCCUGACCUUUUUCGGCUGGUUUUGGUUGGUAGGAGAUGUCAAACUCACCCAAUGCUAUCGCCCAUUUGAUCAUUCGCCCAGACGUGUCAGGACUCUGGAGUAUCUGUCGAAUAGGGUGAUUGGUAAGCACGAUGAUGGCGUGUGCUUGGAAAUAAGGGCAAAGUUUUCGAGCAGACAUGACCAAUGCUAGAGCUAAUUUCUCAAUGUUGGAGUAUCGUGUCUCCGCAUCUUGUAGGGCCUUGCUAGCGUAGUAGACGGGCCUUUCGACACCACUGUCCUUUCGAAUAAGAACAGAACUGACUGCUGAAGCCGAAACCGAUAGAUAGAUAAUGAGAGUGUCACCAAUUUUUGGUUUGGAGAGCAGAGGGGAUUUACUCAUGUACUCUUUGAGGUUCCUGAAUGCCUUGGCACAUUCCUCCGUCCAUGUAAUGUACUUCUUAUUUCCCUUGAGUGCUUUAAAGAAAGGAGCACAUCUAUCUGUGGCCGUAGAGAUGAAUCUGGUUAAGGCUGCCACCUUGCCAGUAAGGCUUUGGAUGUCUUUUGAAGUUACUGGCUCUUUCAUGUCGAGGAUUGCUUUGAUAUUUUCGGGGUUAGCUUCAAUGCCUCGUUGGCUGAUCAUGAAGCCUAAGAAUUUGCCAGAGCCCACGCUAAAGGCACAUUUGUUGGGGUUCAACCUCAUUCGAUACCUCUUUAGAAUGGUGAAAGUUUCAGAUAGGUUGGUGAUGUGUUGGUCAACAUGUUUGCUCUUGACUAGCAUAUCAUCAACGUAAACUUCCAUGCUCUUCCCAAUCUGUUCGGCGAACAUUGAAUUGACCAGUCUCUGAUGAGUUGCUCCUGCAUUCUUUAGGCCGAAAGGCAUGACUUUAUAGCAAUAUAGUCCCUUGUCAGUAGUGAAGGCCGUGUGUUCUUGGUCUGAGGGGUUCAUGAGGAUUUGGUUAUAUCCUGAAUAAGCGUCCAUGAAGCUCAAGAGCUCACACCCUGCCGUAGAGUUUAUAAGUCUAUCAAUGAGAGGAAGAGGGAAACUAUCCUUCGGGCAUCCUUUGUUUAGGUCGGUGUAGUCGACACACAUUCUCCACAAGACCUUUUGAAGCAGGAGACUUUCCUUGGUCGGAUUUUUCUUAACAAGGACAACAUUUGCUACCCAUGUUGGGUAAUUAACUUCACGGACGAAGCCUAUGUCCUUGAGUUUUUCGACUUCUGCUUUCAUCGCCUCAUAUCGUUCAACAUCAUAAGAUCUUCGCUUCUGUUUUACUGGUUUGGUCUUGGGAUCAAUACUCAAGUGGUGACAAAUGAUAUCGGGAGAGAUGCCCGGCAUAUCUUUAUAUAACCAAGCGAAGACCUCGACGUUCUCUUGUAAAAAUGAGAUCAGCGACAACCGAAGGGGUGGUGACAAAGUUGUGCCAAUCUUCACCAUGCGAUCUAGAUGGUCUUUGGAGAUAGAGACAUUCUCUAACUCUUCAGCGGGUUGUGCUUGUUGGGUGAAUGAGUCAUCUCGAGGGUCGUCGGGUUGACUGUUGCUAUCAUGAAAAUCCGAGUUGGCUUCAUCUUGACUGGUAUUUACUACCUGGUUAUGUACAGAGAAGGUCUCCUUGGGGAAAUGCAGGUGUUGUUGCUUAACUGAAGUGUUGUAACAUGAUCGAGCACUAAGUUGAUCUCCCCUGAUGUAUCCAUUUCCGAAAGGGGUUGGAAACUUCAUCAACAACAUAUGUGUGGAUACCAUGGCCUUGAGAUCAUUGAUGCCUGUGCGCCCAAAGAUGACAUUGUAUGCCGUCGGGCAAUUGACCACUAGGAAGUUAGUGGUAAUAGUAGCUGUGUAGGGUCAUGUACCAAUGGUGAGGGGUAAGUGUAUACUCCCUAAAGGUUGUACGAUAUCGCCAGAGAAGCUUAUCAGAGGAGAAAUCGAGCGAUCGAGCAAGUGUUCAGCUACAUUAAGUGCCUUGAAAGCUUCAGCAAACAUGAUAUUGACUGAAGCGCCUGUGUCUAUCAGGAUUCGUUUCACAUCAAAAUUUGCUAUGUGAGCCUCCACGAUCAGCGGGUCGUUGUGAGGGUAUAUGAUACCUCUUUCUUCCUCAGGGUAGAAACAUAUUGGAUCCCAGUUAGGCUUUUGAUACUUGUCUCCCCUGAUGUCUUCCACGUGAAACACUUGAUGGCCAAGUCUCAAAGUUCGUUCACUGUUUUUCAUGGCCCUAUUGGAAGAUUCAGACAUGGGUGUGCUGCCGCUUAUGGAAUAUAUCACAUUCACCUGGCGUUGGUUACGGUUAUCCCUUGGAGGGUGAAGGAGGAACUGAUCAAUUUUUCCGUCACGUGCCAAAGCUUCAAUAUGAUCACGGAGGAUGAUGCACUUCUCGCCAUCAUGGCCAUUAUACUCGUGGUAGCAACAAAACACGCCCGUGUUCUUCGUGGACUUGUAAUCUGGUUGUCUUGGCUUUGGCUUUGGUAUCAGGUGAGCUAUACUGGGGUAGAUGGACGCGCAUGUAGCGUUCAAAGGUGUGUAUGUCUCAUACCUCGGGGUAGGGCCUAUCUUGGCACGUGAUUGGUCCACUGCGUUGACUGCCUGGGGACGGGCGUUAUUGUGACGAUAUCCUGAGUUAUCGCGAUAGUGCCCCUUAUUCUUUUUAUUAAAAUGAGAUUGGUGAGGAUGGAAAUCUUUCCUUUUGCCCUGGGAUUGAUAUGUCUGCUGACUUGGCGAAGCAUUAAAUGAGGCAGGGGGUGUGCUGCUACCGUUUGGAAGGUUGAGGUCUUCUCAUUUGGUUGGAUCUGGCCUCCACUCCCUACUUGCUGAUAAGGGGUGACUGUAGGGGGUUUCCCUUGAUAUGUCCUUGCCUCGGCGGAGGCAUGGUUGUAAGCUUGUGUCAUCACCUCAUAGUAAGUCUUCCAUGUGUUGGCGUUGAUCAUGUACUUGAAGAAACAGUCACGUAAGCCUGCCGUGAAGGCCUUAAGGGUGGUCUUGUCAUCUGCCUCAGAGCAGCGAGAAUACUCAUGGCUGAAGUGGCCAGCAUACUUUCGUAAUGACUCGUCCGGCUUCUGGCGAAUAGUGUACAAGUCAUCUGUAGAAUGCAAGCGAUCAGUCUGGAAGAUGUGUUGAGAGACAAACAGCUUCCUCAACUCUUCAAAUGAGUCUAUUGUCUCAGGUAGAAGACGGCAAUACCAGUUUAAAGCUCCGCCAGAGAGGGUGGAGGGGAAGAGAAGGCACCGUUCUUCGUCGGUGUGUCUCCGGUAUACCAUGGUGGACUCAAAGAGGUUAAGGUGUUCAAUCGGGUCUUCCCUUCCAGUAUAGAGUUGUAAGUCAAGCUUCUGCUUUGUCUUCGCUUGGAGAGGGGUGUUGAAGAUCCUUCUUGUGAGGGGGCCAGGCCUGGGUUGGUUCCAGUCAGGUAUCUCGGCUUGAUGUUCAGCCUUCAACUUGUUUACUUCAUCCAGGAGCUGUAGGAUAAGGGGGUCCUGAGUGGAGUCGUGCACCACUGAAGUUUUCUUCCGUAAGUCCCCAUCGCCUCUUGUAAGUAGGAAAGUUUGAUCAAGAUAGUGUGAUUUUUCCUUGGACUCAUCACAAUGACUCCUAGAGUAAGUAUGUCGAAAUAUUUCCGAGUCCCCUGUACCUUCAUGUUCUUCUGGGACUUGUUGCCCAUUCCCUAGAUUGGCUACUGGCCUGGGUCGUGGAAGAGGACCGAGUCUUUCAGAAACUCUUGGGUCAUUGAUCUUCGAGCUUAUGUGGAUAAGAUUCUCUCGACGUUGCUUUAGGAAGUCUCGACAAUCGCGAUAGACGGCUUUUGAUCCUUCCACUCCUUCUGUGAAGAGGUGCUUUCCUCUACUUUUUCUGCUUCGGGUUGAAGCAGAUGGGUUGAAAGAAGUCUCAUGUUGAUUAUGACCUCGAUGUGUAGCUCGAUCCCUAUCAGGGAUGUCCGUGUUGGAUAUCGGUGACCCUCCGUGUUGGGGGGCAUUCAGAUGAUUGUUGACCUCAACAAGGGCAACGAGCUUAUGUGUUUGAGCAUGCCUAGCCUCGUGAAGCAUCUCGAAAAGUUUUUCAUAUUGUUCUUGGAGGACCUCAUUCUUCAUCGCCAUCUUGUUAUUCUGAACCUCUAGCUCAUCGACUUUAGCUUGAAGAGUAACUCUAUUUCCUUCCUGCUUUCGUUGCUUCAUACUAGGUCCAAGGGGGGUGUCAUUCUGUGUGCUAUGGCUUCUUUCGCUCCCCAUGUCGGAGAGAGAUGUUUGGCCAAAAGAGAGUGUACGAGCGGUGGAAACCAGCUUGACAAAGCUGAAGAGAGUGGGAAUAAGUGUCGUUCCCACAGACGGCGCCAAAUGUUGAUGCACAAAAUCAGCGAGGACUUUGGUACAACAGAAAGUGUCAGGUUUGUGACCUUCGCUUGGUUGCUUCGAUCACUAGUGAAGAUAAGUACGUAAAUGAAUAGGGACAGGGAAGCAAACACAAGAUGUACGUGGUUCACCCAGAUCGGCUACGUCCACGGGGUAGAGGAGUUCUCAUUAAUUGUGAAUGGUUUACACAAAUACAUAGGUUCAAGCUCUCAUUUUGUGAGUUCUAGUGAAUAGUUUAGUACAAAAUGACAUUAGAGAUUAUUGUGGGAGAAUGAUCCCUAUUUAUAGAAGAGAGUUUCUAGUUUUGUUUUGACAUUGACACGUGUCGUGUUGUGAUUGGCUUCUGAUAUUGACACGUGUCGCGCUGUGAUUGGCUUCUGAUGUCGACACGUGUCGCAUUGUGAUUGGCCUCCUAGUGGAAGGGAAGCUAUUCUGGGUCCUUGACGGUAUAACGUUGACCGGUGCUCAGUAGUUUCGGGAUUGGUCAAGUAUGGUACAAACAACUUACAACAACAAAAAAUUCUGUUUUGAGCCCCUAGGAUCAAAAGAAAAACAAAAAACACUAAUUCCAAUGCCUAGAUAUAUAAACAUCGCAUAAAACACUCAUUUGCAAAUGAGGGGCACACUCAUAUAAAGCUAUAUGUUUAUAUGGGUAGCAAAUAAGCAGUACAGAUGCAGACACAUCUAUAAAGCUAAAUCAGAUCGAUUUCAUAAUCAUAUUUUGCUCAAGCUUUUAUCAAGGGAGACAUGCAAAAUCAUACAGAAACAUCCAUUAGUAAACUGGACAAUUUCAAUAUAUAUGGAAGCAUGCAUGAAAUCACAGAGAGAAAAUAAUAAUACAACUUUACCUUUGAAGUGUUAUUGCGUCAGGAUUUGGGAUGGAGAUCCGACAUGCACACAUUUGGGAUGAGAGAAAUGGGGAUUAAACCCAGAAGGCGGGAUUUUCCGAAGAGCAAGGAAGAAGAAGAGGAGAAAUAGGGGGGUGUUUAAAUGGGGAGAAGAAGAGAAGCGAGCUUCCCUCCAUAGUUGAGGUUCAAGCCCGUGGGAGAGGAGUUGUGUGAAGCCAAAAAUAUUCACAAGACGACACAUGGAUUUUUGACAAAAGAAGACAAAACUACCCUUGAGGCAUACUGGGAUUCCUACGCGCAAGCAGCGGGCAAUUAUCUCUCAACCAAGUCAAAAGUGCCCAAAAUAGGUAUCAACUUAAAACCUAAUUUAUUCAUAUAUGUCCUAUUUCAUUAUUUAGCUAAUCAAUUAGCUAAAUACUAUACUUAUUCCAUAAUUCCUAAAACAUUCCUUCUAAAAUAAUGAUAAAUAGCUAAUUAAUGGGUUAAUUAGCUAAUUAUUCCCUUAAUUAGCAUUUAGACCAUUCACUUUACCCUAACUCCCACAAAAAGGCCGGUUAACUUUCAUCCCCAAAAGAAAUCAGCCUUUCCUUCUACCUUUUUUCCUUUGUAUGACAAAUAAUUAGCCAAGUUAAUUAGGGAGUUAUUGGCUAAUUAUUUUGUUACUCCUAAUUAAACCUAAAUUAAACCCAAAAAACCCUAGCCACCUCCUAUCCCUAUAAAUAUACUCUCAUUCUCACCAAAAAGCCAAUUCCAACACUUUGGCAAAAAUCCCAAAAUUCUUUAAACACUCUUUUUCUCUAAAUUCUAACUUUGGCAUCGGAGGUUCUUCGGCCAAAGCCCCCCCAUUCAUUGUGGGCGCGUGAGGCUCUUGGCCUUGACCUAAGGUGUUAAUUGUUUUGUAGGUGCAAUUUUGUCCAAGAAGAAGAAGGCGGAAAUUUGCAUCCACAAGUUGCAGAGAGAAACUCUGUUCAGCUAGUACUAAUUCAAUUUACAGAAAAGGGGAUUAGGGUUUUUUGGAAUCAGAAAGGGAUAGACAGCCUAUGUUGUGGUUCGUGUAAAAUCGAGAGAGAGAACUGGAGUUCGUAGCAAAUGGAGGACUAUUGGAAGCAAAUGAAAAGCUAAGCUUUGUGAGAGAAAGAAGUGGAAGCGGAAGGAAAAUUCAAGAUGCAGUGGAAGGGGAGCAAUCGACGAUGGUCGACACGUGGGCAGCAUGGACAAAUACGUAAAUUCAUUGUGCCAAGGACGGGGAACAGAGAAGAAAAUAAGGGCAUUUCUGUCAUUUCACUAUUUAUAAACAGUGCAAACGGUGCCAAAUAACAGCGUUUUAGUAUGUGUAUAAUGUAAUAUAUCCUAUUUUGUCUUUUUACAAAAUUAAAAUUUAUAAAAGUAAAUAAAUUUGUCAAGUAUUCUGAACCACAUUAUUGAUAACCUAUUGUGAGGCUUUACCCAUCCCCACCCCUUAGUGUAAAUAAUAUUAUUUGUUAAAUAUAUAGAUAUAUAGAUAUAUAUAUAUAUAUAUAUAUAUAUAUUGUUGUAGCCCAUAUUUAAUUGAGGGGUGCGGCAUAGAGAGAAAGAGAGUGAAGAAUAGGCUUGAGGAAUUGUGUGUUAAUUCCCCAGUCAUUGUGCCUUUAUUAAUAGUAAUAAGGAGGAAAGAAACUUGCUCUCCAAGUAAUACAAAGUCUAUUAGGAAAGAUCUUCUAGAUCCCAAAGGAUUCAUAAUCUAUCUCUACUUAGGAUUUACACAAUCACAAUAUGUAUUAGAACAUAUGUCACAUCACUCCCCAUUGAGUGUGCAAAUACUCAAGUAGAUGGUGCAUCAGAUCUUCAGGCAAAUGUAGAAGCAGCUGAUGAAAUCAUCUCGUCUAGUUGGCACAAAUAACGAAUGUGAGUCUUAAAAAAAAUAGAAGAAUGCAUGGGUGGUAAAACUCACAAAACCUCGUUAUAACAAAACCCAAGGUGGGACAAAAAUCCAUAGUCAAAGGAGAAAGGUGAGAAGUUGCAUUAAGUCAAAAUUAUACGUCUUCGGGAUGCAAGUAGAACGUACACAAGAGUAUGACUAACCCAAGAUGGGUGCCUCAUCAAAACCUAAUCAGGUAGCAAAAGCUCAGUGGGAAUAAUGCUCCUAAGCGUAGGAAAAAAGAAUACAUUAAGGUCACGUGAGUAUACUUCUGGAUACUCUCUCUGAGUUUAACAGAACUUCCAAAUGAGAACUAUAAGCAUUGUAUAUGAAUAGUUAGGCAUACCAAUUCCUUGGACAAGCUUCUGGAAGGUAGACUUUGAUAAUGACGUCGUGCAAAGGUAGGCAAGGUUUAUGCCUAGCAGUUUCUGACACGAUCCGUUAACCUGACACGAUACAACACGAAAUUAACAGGUUUUCGGGUCGACACAAUAACUAAUCAAGUCGUUAUCGGGUAACCUGAUAACCACCUGUUAAGAUAAUGGGUUGGUCCGGGUGUACACGUGGGUAACACGAUACACGAUAAGCAAAAUAUUAAUUUAAUAAUUUUAUACCCCUAAAAAAUAAUAUAAUAAUUAUAUUUAUUAUAUUAAUUUAAUAAUUUUAUACCCCUAAAAAUACUAUAACAAUUAUAUAUAUAUAUAUAUAUAUAUAUAUAUAUAUAUAUAUUAUAUUAUAUUAAAUUUAGAAAAUUGAUGAUCAUUGGAUCGAUUGAGAUUUAAUCUCAACCGUCCAUUGUACAUUAGGUUGGAGCCUAGAUUAUCCUUCUCUUUCAUUCACUCUCGAUCUCUCAAGACUUUCAACACUUUGCGCCGCUCUCCUUGAAUUCGCUCAUCUCUCUUGCAUCCUCCUCCGUCCACUUUCUUGUACUCAACUCCGGUAGCUACAAGAAAACCACACACAGUCAAGCACACACUAAAGGUAUGAAUUUUGUAAAAGGUAUAACAUGCAAGCUUUGAGUUUCAUUGGUAAGGUUUUAACUUUUGAGAAAGGCUUCACAGCCUUGAAAAUAAAAACUCUUUCAUUUUGCAUAUCCUUGCACAUUUUAUAUUUUGUAGUAGACUAGUAGUGUAUUGAUACUUUUUUAUUAUGCUCUUGUUUUGGAGUGUAGAUGUAGUACAUAACGACAAAUGUGUUUUAAAUUUUUGAAGUAAUAUUUAUGUGGCAAUGUGGUAUGUACAAAUUUAAAAAAAAAAUCUUAAUGGGUCAGGUCAUUUUACUUGUUGGGUAAAGUGGCCCGGCCUGUUAAGGACCCGUUAAGGUAACGGGUGUGACACGGCACAACCCAUUAAGAUAACAGGUGUUACAGGAAAACGACACGAACACGACAGACACAACCCGUUUGCCAAGCCUAGCAAGGUUGUCUAGAUCAGACUGUUUAACUUCAAUCUUGUGAUGCUUAUGCUGAUGUAGACAAAAUAUGCUUGGCAUUGACUUAUUGGAUGUAUCAUGAUCUGUUCAAUACACACAGCGUUGUCUUCAUGGAUCGUUGUUGGGAGUUAACGAUGGAUGAAAAUCACAUAGAGUUCAAAUGUGUUCACGUUAUGAGAUAUAGUGAGUCUUGGAACAAUUCAAAGGUUUCGCAACUAAAGGUCUAUAUCACGGACCUCUAAGAUAUUGCGGUGUUCCUUAACGGUAAAGACAUAACCAUUUGGGAACGUACCUUGUGUGGUUAGAUAGAUAAUCUGAUUUAACGAAUCCCACAAGGUAGGCAUCAUUCUGAAGAUCAUGGGGAUGUGAUCUAUUUUGAGAUGCAUAGGGAUAGAUAAGCCCAAAUCCGUAGUAAUGGAAAAACGUCUUUAACACCAAUUUGGUGAUGGCGUGUAGGUGCAGUGCUGUUUUAUGCCAUAAGAUUAUCAGCAUAUAAAAUGUCUGAUCUAGUCCAUUUGAGCUAAGUACAAUGAACGCCAAUGGUACUUAUAUAUGGUUGCCUCACGUUCCAAUAUGGAACCUUAUGUUUCAUACCCUUCGUAAAGUUCUCAUUUACAUAUAGCGUACAAAUGAUCAUGGUAUAAUCAGAUGUAACACAUUCUGGGUCUAGUUCGACUGGUGGACUAGAAUACCAUUAGAACUAGCUCGAAACUUCAAGUCGAGGUAAUGUCGAGUUUCCCCUAGAUCAUUUAUCUUAAAGUUCGACUUUAGGUGUGAGUCAGUUUUUUCAACUCUAGCAAUUUUGGAUAUUGUACAUGUAGGGCAUAUAUCCUUAACUGAUCAAAUAUUCACUUAGACGGGUAUACCACAUCCGCCCGGAUAGUUCUGCAUUAGUAAAAUGAAGGCAUCAUCAAAACCGAGAGGGUGUUCUUGUGGUCCAGAACUAUUUAAAUCAAUACAUGUAAGUACUUUGGAAACUCCAUGUAGGUUUCGUAUCAGGAUCCCAGAUAUACUACAACCACGUUAGUCAUGCUGCAAUCAAUCACAUGGUGUAUGAGAGAAGCCUUGCGCCACAAGACAUAAUAUUGCACUAUUUCAUUCAUCUCAUUUGUCAUGGAUUGAUUCUUCUAGUUGACCAAUCAGUUAUACGUUGACAAUAAUCAACGGAAUGUGGUUCGUUAUCGUCGUUUUUCAUUUAUGUCUGUAGUUUCCAUAUAAAUGAAACAUCAUCUAUGAUAAUCUCAUUCCAAUUCCAUAUCUCAUCCAAACUAGCAUAUAGGGUAAUGAAUAUUCAACUUCAAAACCCAACCGACAUGCAAUAUCCAUCGAAAGUCUUUGAUGUAAAUUCUCCAACUUAUCAAAUCAAAUAGAUUUGAUCAGAUAAUCAGGAUGGUGAGCCUUGAGCUUGUUAAUCUAAGCCACCAAUGUGGAGAAUGCAGCUUGCGGACAACAGCCACACGUGUGACCAACGUGUAAAAGCAUCAACCAAUACCAUAAAAUAUCUAAAUGGUCCACAUGGUGGUUGAAUCAAUCCACCAAUGUCCCCUUGAAUCCUUUGUAGAAAAGAUGGAAGGUGUUAAGGCAUGAUAUGUUUCCAGGUAUGAUGUUUUUACUUCUGGUAAAAGGAUGCUCAAAACUGCGCAUCAUGGAUCAUUCUAGAUAUCCCAAACAUACAUCUAUAGUGAAAAUUCCCUUGGAAUCUUAGGCUUCUGGCCGGCCACAUAUUCGGCUUGAAUGGGUGUAAUCCACUCGUUAGGCGUUCCAUCUUCUCUAGAAUAUGCUUGUGGCUAUAUUUAUAGGAAGUGCAAUAUGGUAAUAAGCCAAGGACUUUUACUUCAUUUUCUACAUUGGUUUCAAUAUGGUGAUAAUGCUCUCGAAGAUCCUUAAAGCUCAAAAUGCGUUCUUCCGGAACGAGUGAGUAUAAGGCUUCCCUUUAUAGUAAAAUUAGUACCAUUGGACAAUAUAGGGCAGUGCCAUGCCCCCACAAUCAGGUUAAAUAAGCCUGAAAGGUUGUCAGGGGAUGAUUAAGUAUGAAGUUAGCAUAGAACCAUAUUGCUAACUUCCCCACAAAACAUACCUAAGCAGGAGUUGAUUGUAUUAGGCACAUGUGGUAAUUUUUGUUAAUUAACUCUUAUUCGAGAAUAAUAGUGACAUCCAAACACCAAUCUUAAAUCCAAGAACAAAAUAAAUUAUUCAUAAAGUAAACCAAAUAUACACGGGGGUUCAGCCAGUGCGACCUUCCAUGUCAAAUCUCGCUAGACAAAAAUGUGUUAGGUGGAGCAAAAUUAGUCUCACAUAUUGACUAUGGGAAUAGUACUCUUCAACAACAUUGGUAGAAGCACAAAAAAAUGCAUAACCAAUGAUCUAUUUUGUCAUAACUGAAUUAGAUUUUGCAGGAUUAAGGUUUAGGAAUACUAUCCCUUAUUCUUGAAGUUUUAAGUAUUAGGUGCUAAGGAUCAUGCUUCGAGCAUGAUGCCACCUUUUAGAAAACCUUGAUUCUACCAUAUGUUGUAAAACAAACUUGAAAUGAGAUUGUGAGAGAGAGACAGACAUACCUAAACUUAGGUUCGAUAGGCUUCAGCAGAAGCUGGAGGGGUCUGUUCGGUAGGCCUCUGCCAAACCAGAACAAUAUCGUUCGGUGCACCUCUGCCAAAGCAGAGCAUGAAAGUCGGUGCAUCCCUGUCGAAGCAGGGCACCACCAUUCAGUAGACUCAAGCCAAAACUGAGUCUUCAGGCCAAUAGGAAGAAUUGGGUGAAAAAUAUAAAGCCUAAAUAAAUUGGACCAAAAACAUAAGCCCAAAAUUGGGAGUGUUAUGGGAGUAGGCCAGGGCUACAAGCCUAGUAGUUCAAGAUUUGGGCUGCAUAAGCAAGCCCAGACACAGAGGCCCAAAUGAGGGUGCACUCUAGUGCCUCGCGAUGCAGGUGCACUGGGUCACCAGCUAUUGGCUAGGAUUUGGUGUUACACGGAGCGAAGGACAAUGUGUGUGUUACGGGCCGAGAUAGGAGUAACAGGGGGCUGUUGCUGGCAAGCCUAAUAGAAAAUAAUUUUUUACUACAAGCCAAGGUAAGCCUAGGCCUAAAAGGAAAAAAGAGUCGUGUGUUUGUCCAACCAGGAAUCCUAGCCCUGCUGGGUGAGUUCACCGGGGAAGAAAACCGGAGUCGUCGCUUCUGUUAAGCAUUGUAGAAGUAGAAGAAGGAAAAAGAGAAUAUUAUUAUCAAGGUUCUAAAAAACGCUAGGCACUAGUCGGGCGGCGGGCUAACGCCUAAUGCCUAGGCGACCUAGGCGGAUUUAGGUAAAUUUCUUGUAUAUCUUGUAAAUAAGUGCACAUUAACAUAUCCAAAAAAUUAUACUUGUAUGAAAUUCAUGGAUAAGAUAAUAAAAGAAUAACAAAAUACAAAAAAAAAAAGUAUCUAACAAAUCCAAAAUUUAAAAACACAUUAAGCAUAUAUGCCAUAUAACUUAAAGCAUUUUGAAUGAUUAUAUCUAAUUUAAAAAAAAUAAAAGUAAUAAUAUUGGGUUGGAUGGUUCAUAAUAAAGAGAAAAUUCUGAUGUCAAUAUGGUGGUUCAUAAUAAUAUUUUUUAGAGAUCAUAUUAAUUUAUGUUGAAUUUAAAGAGAAAUAAAGGUGUUAAACAUGUGGAUGUGGAAAGGGCACACCCAUAAUUACCAUUAAUUUAUGUCAAAUAUGUGGAUGUGAACGCAUGGGAACUCUGCUGUCUGCACCAAUACUUAAUGGUGACAUCUUCAACCUGACACACCCAUCAUUUUUUAGGAGAAAAAACAAGGAACCGAACUGACAGCCUAUGGCUUUUUACACAAAGCAAGCAAUUUGAUGCUGGCUGUCCAAAUUUGAUUGGAGAGAAACUAAGAAAAAAAUUAAAUAAGAAGAGUGUGUAUAGUGGUCACGUGGUGUGAAAGGAAGAGAGAGAACGUCUUCGUCUUCGUCUUUCCUCUUUCGCCAAACCGAGCGAGAACCAGAAAAAUCUGCAUUCUUGAAAACAUAACAAAAUUGAAAUUCCUGGACCGCCUAGGCCUAGGCCACUCAGUCGCCCGCCUAGGACGCCCAAGGGCCGCCCAGGCUGUCUCGGCGGCCGCCUAAUCCCUAUCUCGAUUUUGAGUUAAUCCCCUCGGCAGGCCACUGCCCAACGCCUAGGCGGCCGCCUAAGCCGAUUUUUAGAAUACUAAUUAUUAUCACUUCAAUUCUUUUCGUGAAAGAAAAAGAGAGUCAAACUCAUUUUGGGAAUAUCGAAGUAUGUGUUGAAAUUGAGUCCUCUUGUAUACUUGACUUUUAAUCCAAACGUUCAUUUAUAAAUCUAAAUGGUUGUUUGAUAACUAUUUCUUAAUUAUAUUUUUUUUUUAAAAAGGAAAACCAAAAUCUAAAAACUAAAAACUAAAAUGGUUAUAUAAGUCUGUAAAAAUUCACCCAUUUUGUUUAAGACUAUGGUAAAAUAUGUCAUAACCUUUAGAUUUUUGAUGAAAAAAUAACCAAGAGAACAAGAUGAUCUCGGUCUCUAGGUUUUCUACCUCUAAAAUUGUGAACUGACAUUUCGAUUUAGAGUUCCUAAAAUUCUUACACGUUUGCUUGCACGUGUACAGAAGGUAUGUUUGCUUAACCCUUCUUCUUGAGGGAUAUCAUUUGUCAUUAUUCAUAUUUUUUCAGAUGAUUUGCUAUGUUGCAUGUCUAAUUUCAAUUCUUUCGGGCAUUAAUAACCUGACGCAACUUGGACUUAAAAUGUUUGUCAUUUGAUAGUUUUUGUGAUAUUUUAAUUUGUUUUGAAAACUGAAAAAGGUUUUAGAAGCCACUGGUGCCGUAAAUAAUUUAACACUAUCCAAUAUGAAUAUAAAGCAGUAAAUCCCAGAUUGACAUAAAUAACCUCAUUAAGUGUCUCCACAGAAUCUGCUUCAAGAAUAUUUCAUGAAUUAGGAACUGAAACAAACAGAUACAUCAAUAUGUCAAAGAUAGAAAUUUGUAGUGGUAGUGCGCUCGUGAAAUGUCAUUCAUGUCACUAAUAAAAGCAUCUUUACGUUCAUUCAGCAUAUAUUUCUGGUCACCUAGUCACAUCUGGUUGGUUGUCUGGGCUAGAUGCUAUGGUUGUUUGGCUCACUGAAUAAUUUGAUUAUAGUUGAGAGCCAUUGUCAUCAGCUCUUGUUUUUUUGGUGCGUGGGAUUGAAUUUAUGUGGUGCAUGGGUUUGAGUGUUUAGCUGUUUCCAGAUUGUGCAGAGUACAAAGAGAAGUUGAUACUCUUUACUAUUUGACAAUAUGCUACAAAAAGUUUCUGUAAAAUGGGGACUCAGCAUACAUGUUUUAUCUGUAUGCCACUAUUUAAUAUUUUUAUUUUUAUUUCUUUUUGAGUUAAACAAAUCCGUUGUCGUCCAGCGGUUAGGAUAUCUGGCUUUCACCCAGGAGACCCGGGUUCGAUUCCCGGCAACGGAACUUUUGUGUAUUUAACACAAUACGUUGAAAUGAAGGAAAGCUUAUUUAUUGAUAUCCCCGAUAAGCUACAAAUAUGUACAUAUACAUGAGUCAAAAUAAGCACACAAGAGGGAGCCUUCACAAAGGUUGCUUAGGAGAAGUCUCAGCAGUCGGUAGAGCCCCAGAAAGAGAAGGCACCGGAGGGGGAUCAUUUGGAGCCUCAGUACUGGACAGAACCCUAGAAGGAGGAGGCAUCAGAGGUUGAUCAUUUGGAGCUUCAUUACGCGGUACAGCCCCAGAAGACGAAGGCAAUAAAUGCCUUUGGAACAAACCCACAAAUCUCUGAUGAUCAAGUAAAACCUGGCCAUCAGUUUCCUUCAUCUGGUCAAGCUUCCUCUUCAUGUUUGUAGCAUAGUCAUGUGCGAGCCGGUGCAACUGUUUUAUUCUCAUGCUUGAGCCCUCUAAUCUCCUGUUUGAGACCAUCACUUCAGCCGCCAAUGAUUCAACUUGGCGGGUUCGAGCAAAUAGGCGUUGGGCCAUAUUAGACACAGAACCUGCACACUGAACACUGAGAGCCAGCGAAUCCUUAACAGCUAACUCAUCAGACCGUUUGGAAAGUAGUCUGUUAUCUUUGGGAGUGAGAAGGUUCCUGGCCACCACCGCAGCGGUCAUAUCAUUCUUCAUCACGGAAUCCCCAACGGUAAGAGGACCAGUAGGGGAGACGAAGGAUGGGCGCCAUAUAUGUUGUCUGGAGAAGGCGGGGCUGCCUCUUCAACAAGGUUCAAGUCAAAACGACGGUCGGAGGGGCCAGACAUUUUCAAAGGUGUUGAAGAGAGAAGAGGUCGGACAAAUCAAGAUCUUAGAAGUGCAAGAAUGAAGCUUCUACUGGUGGAGAUUCAAGUGUGCUUUGGAACUUAAUGCCAGCCCCUAUAAAAAUCUGCACUCGACGAAGCUUCAGAAAUCGAAGAGGCGCCUGCUCAGAAAUCGAAGAGGCGUUUGCUUUCUCAAAAAGCUGGGCUGCUUAGAGAUCACGAGGGUUGAUCUCAGAAAUCGAAGAGGCGUUUGCUUUCUCAAAAGUUGGGCUGCUCAAAGACCACGAAGGCCGAUCUCAAAAAUCGAAGAGGCGCUCGCUUUCUCAAAAGCUGGGCUCCCCAGAGACCACGAGGGCCGAUCUCAGAAAUCGAAGAGGCACCUACUUUUCCAGCCUUUUCCAGCCUUGUCAGCACCUGUCACACGCACACUCAGUUUUGCGGAAAUUAUGGGCAUUCUGUUAAAGACUUCUGGGGAAGUAGAAAACACAUGAAUCUUACUGUUCAAUCACCCACUUCCCACACGCAACAAUAGCUCAUGGGUACCACAGAUAACUUUGCCAAAGUUCUCUGCCAAAGUUGAGCACGUGAAGCUUGCAGCUCCCACUACAUCGCUCUGACCAAGAAAGGUAAAAGAAUAGCAAAGAAACAGCACUAACAAAGUUUAGACCCAUAAAUUUUGAAGGUCUAGCUACCAUAUUAUUACCCACAAGGGUAAAGGAACAGUACCACUGCUGGAUAAUUGGAAAGUCCCUGUGUGUCAACCUCUGUGCUUCGUGGCAAGGUAGACUAGCAAACAUGCCCAACCUUUACUCACAUUCGAGAAAACACUCCCAAUAAGAUUGCUUGCUCCAAAAUCGAAGAGGCACCGUCCUCCGAAUCUCAAGAGCCAGACUCCCAACAUGACUACUUUCUUAAAAAUCGAAGAGAGGGUAAAGGAACAGUACCAUUGCUGGAUAAUUGGAAAGUCCCUGUGUGUCAACCUCUGUGCUUCGUGGCAAGGUAGACUAGCAAACAUGCCCAACCUUUACUCACAUUCGAGAAAACACUCCCAACAAGAUUGCUUGCUCCAAAAUCGAAGAGGCACCGCCCUCCGAAUCUCGAGAGCCAGACUCCCAACAUGAUUACUUUCUCAAAAAUCGAAGAGACACUGCUCCCCGAAUCUCUCGAGAGCCAGACCCCCAGCAUGAUUGCUUGCUCAAAAAUCGAUGAGGCAUCGUUCUCCGAAUCAAUCGAAGAGGCGCUCGCUUUCUCAAAAGCUGGGCUGCUCAGAGACCACGAGGGCCGAUCUCAGAAAUCGAAGAGGCACCUACUUUUCUAGCCUUGUCAGCACCUGUCACACGCACACUCAGCUUUGCAGAAAUUAUGGGCAUUCUGUCGAAGACUUCUGGUGAAGUAGAAAGCACACAUGAAUCUUACUGUUCAAUCACCCAUUUCCCACACGCAACAAUAGCUCAUGGGUACCACAAAUAACUUUGCCAAAGUUCUCUGCCAAAGUUGAGCACGUGAAGCUUGCAGCUCCCACUACAUCGCUCUGACCAAGAAAGGUAAAAGAAUAGCAAAGAAACAGCACUAACAAAAGUUUAGACACAUAAAUUUUGAAGGUCUAGCUACCAUAUUAUUACCCACAACUGUAAAGGAACAGUACCACUGCUGGAUAAUUGGAAAGUCCCUGUGUGUCAACCUCUGUGCUUCGUGGCAAGGUAGACUAGCAAACAUGCCCAACCUUUACUCACAUUCGAGAAAAACACUCCCAAUAAGAUUGCUUGCCCCAAAAUCGAAGAGGCACCGUCCUCCGAAUCUCGAGAGAGCCAGACUCCCAACAUGACUACUUUCUCAAAAUCGAAGAGAGGGUAAAGGAACAGUACCAUUGCUGGAUAAUUGGAAAGUCCCUAUGUGUCAACCUUUGUGCUUCGUGGCAAGGUAGACUAGCAAACAUGCCCAACCUUUACUCACAUUCGAGACAACACUCCCAACAAGAUUGCUUGCUCCAAAAUCAAAGAGGCACCGCCCUCCGAAUCUCGAGAGCCAGACUCCCAACAUGAUUACUUCCUCAAAAAUCGAAGAGACACUGCUCUCCGAAUCUCGAGAGUCAUACCCCCAGCAUGAUUGCUUUCUCAAAAAUCGAAGAGGCAUCGUUCUCCGAAUCUCGAGAGCCAGAUACCACAGACCACUUUUUCAAAGUGCUCUGACAGAGUUAAAACAUGUGAAACUGGCAGCUCCCACUACCGUGCUAUGACCAAGCAGGGUAAAGGAAUAGCAUUACUACUUGUUGUUAGGGAGACUCCUAUAUAUGUCGACCUCCAUCCCCAACGGACAGGCAGACCUGCAAAAAUGCUCAACCCUUCAUCAUAUCUGAGAGGGCACUUCCAACGAAGCCUUUCGAAAUAUUCAGCUUUCUUUCCCCCCGAUAAUACCUCUGCAAACAAGCUAUACUAGAGCAAGAAUAUCUCAUAUCAUCAGGGUUAAAAGCAAGAGUAUCCCAUAUCAUGCUUUUUCCCUGUCUUUUCUUUUGGCCUUGUUUUUACCUGCAAGACAAGGAGAAAGAGAGCAAUCAGUCAGCACUUGGAAUCAAGCUUCCAGCCAGGAACUGACUGCCUGGAACCCCUUACCUGAUUACUUACCUGGCAUUGCUCUCGAGUACUCAUCUUCAACAUCUCAUGUUUCCAGGGAAGAUUCCGCAUCUGCUUGAGGAACAGAUAGGGCAAGUGCGAAGGAUACAAGGAAGCAUGUGGAGACAAGCGUAACAGCACACGUGCCGAUACAUUCAUUACUCUCUGUCAAAAGCAAAAGUAUCCCAUAUCAGCAGGGUGGAACGUACUCUAGAUUUGAUGGACUUGUUUUGACCCUCAAAUUCUUCAGUCGGCCUUAUACUCUGGAGGAAACCAGAAAACCCUCCAGCUCAGUUCAAGAAUAAGCCUGUGGAAAGUUACUUCUUCAAAAGCAAAAGUAUCUCAUAUCAUCUCUUCUCAUUUUUCUUCUCUUUAUCCUUCAUGCUGCUGCAAGAUGGGGAGAAGGUGAACAAUCAGUCGGAGCUCUGAUUGCUUACCUUGUCUGUCACCUCUUUCAGCAGACCCCCUAGCUCGGCGACUUGGGGGACUCCUACUACAUGGUUUGUAUCGCGCUUGACCAAGCCUGAAACUACAAGUAAGCUUCAAGUGAAAUUGAUACAUUACCUUGUGCAUCUCCACCAGUUAAAGAUACCACCCCUGGAUGGAGGAAGAGUACUUCCAGAGAAGAUGCCACAUCUACCUAUGAGACAGAUAAGGCAAGUCAAGACGACACCACACUCUCCGAUACUUAGAAGUUUCGUGAUUACGAGAUCAUUCUCCCACAAUAUUUCCUAAUGUCAUUUGUACUAAAUCAUUCACUUGUACUCACUAAAUGAGAGCUUGAACCUAUGUACUUGUGUAAACCCUUCACAAUUAAUGAGAACUCUUCUAUUCCGUGGACGUAGCCAAUCUGGGUGAACCACGUACAUCUUGUGUUUGCUUUCCUAUCUCUAUCCAUUUAUAUACUUAUCCACACUAAUGACCGGAGCAAUCUAGCGAAGAUCACAAAAAGCGAUCGUUUUCGCUACCUAGGAUCUAUCUUGCAAGAGAACGGAGAAUUAGAUGGAGAUCUCAACCAUAGAAUACGAGCUGGAUGGAAAGAGUGCAUCCGGCGUGUUGUGUGACCGUCGUAGGCCACUGAAGCUCAAGGGAAAAUUUUAUAGGACGGCAAUAAGGCUAGCGAUGUUGUAUGGACACAGAAUGUUGGGUGGUGAAGCAUCAACACGUACACAAAAUGGGUGUAGCGGAGAUGAGGGUGCUUCGUGGGAUGUGUGGGCACACGAGAAAGGAUAAGAUUGGGAAUGAGGAUAUCCGAGGUAAAGUAGGAGUAGCCGAAAUUGUAGGAAAUAUGAGAGAAAAUCGGCUCCGGUGAUUUUGAACAUGUGCAAAGAAGGCCGACUGACGCUCCGGUUCGAAGAUGUGACUACGGGACAGAGGUUCAGGGCCGAAGGGGUAGAGGAAGACCUAGGACAACUUUGGAAGAGACUCUAAGAAAAGACUUAGAGUACUUGGAUCUAACGGAGGACAUGACACAAAACCGAGCGCAAUGGCGUUCUAGGAUUCAUAUAGCCGACCCCACUUAGUGGGAAAAGGCUUUGUUGUUGUUGUUGUUGUUGUUAUUUCUUUUUGAGUUAGAAGCAUGUGUCUGUCUGAUUUCAGGUGAGGGAUGAACUCGAACAUUUGUUGGAUGACAAUGAAGAUAUGGCACAUUUAUAUUUAACAAUGAAAUGGAUGCAGAAUCAACAGCCUGAGGCUUUGUUGGGGCGUUCUGCUUCAAAUAGCAUCUCUGCACCCUAUUUACGUCGGCUUAGUUCCAACAGAAGUGGGAGCUUGGUAAACAGUAACAAUAUGGAUUACGAUGACGUAGAAGAUCUAGAGAUGCUGCUUGAGGCAUAUUUUAUGCAACUGGAUGGAACCCGUAACAAAAUAUUAUCUGUGAGUGCUAAUUGUUAUGAUCUACUAUAACCACUUUAUACUAAAGAAAUUGACUAUUAAGUUCAGUUUACACAAAAACUUCUUAAAGGAUCUCGUCCUGGAGAACUUAACCUUUUACAAAACAAUAUUAAAUAUCAUUUUUCACCGUUAGCUUGCGUUUUAAUGCAGGUACAUCAACUUUGAUUCAGUUCCAGAUAACGAAUUUUAGGUUAGAUUUCUAAAUGUUGCUUAUUUUCUGUGCGAAGUUCUGUGGUUGCACUUGCUCCUGGAAUAAUUUGGAGGCUUUGGAGACCUCUUGUGGGUUUCCAGUUGGAACUAAUUUCGCUAUCAUUGGUACAUCCAUGUUACAUCUAUGUUGCAAGUGUGCAACUUCAAGUGCAUCCAUACAAUUAUACACAAAUGCAUAAAACUUACAUGCAAGCACAUCACAUUAAUAUACUACAAGUGUGCAACUUCCUUGGGACUGCUUAUCUCUUCUUAGCGAAUAUCAUUCUUUGGUGUGCAAGGGAAAGAAGGCCAGGGUGAUGUGGCGUUACCUGGUCUUGGUGGUGAUAUGGGUGGUUUGGAUGGAGAGAAACAGGAGAAUUCUUAAGCUGACGAUGGAUUGUGUUUUGAGGAGCUUUGGGACAGAAUUUGUUUUCAGUAAGCGCUUCGGGGCACCAGGAUCCUCGCCGGAUCCAUUCUCUAGGGAUCCUGUGAUCCUGUCCGUUCAUCGUAUAUCGUGCUGUCCGUUUUUGUUAGUUACUAUUUACAUCUGAAUUUUAAAUUUUAAAUUUUAAAUGAUUUAUGACCGCACGAUAUACGAUCAACGGACAAGAUUGCGGGAUCCCUAGGGAAUGGAUCCGACGAGGAUCCUGGUCCCGCUUCGGGCUUUUGUUUCCUCGGAGUUCAGAGAUACCCCUUUAUCCCUAAUUUGGAUUGAUUGGAAGGCUGCAAAAAACAAAAAAACAAAAAAAAAUUAAAGAAAUGUUUCCAAAAUCAUGGCAAAAAUUGACUGUAGAAGAUCAAACAACAAAUGUAAAUAGUAGUAUUUAGAUCAAUAAAAAAUGGAAUGCAUGAAGGAAUUAUCUUAAAUUCAGAGGCUCGAAUUCAAUAAGCCGAAAGAACAAAAAUGCAGCUGGAUCAAAGUUUGUUCUGUUGCAUAAACCAAACAGAUUCUAGUUCCAACUCAAAUUUUCCAACAGAGUGGAGCUCAAGAAACCAAAACCUUCUUUCAAUGGCAAGGUAUCAAAAGCCUUCUUUUUCACUCAUAAAGCUUUAACCACCACCUCAAAUUCUCCAAAAAAAACCCAAAUCCAUUUCCAAGUUCAAAUAUACACUAAAAACAGAAUAUUUUAUAGAUAACUCGCAUACUGGGGAGGUCGAAGAGAGCAUCUAAACCGAAUUCUUUUUAAGUUGCAGCCCCUUUUAAGUCUUCAAACUAUUUUCCUUGAGUUGCAUAUUCACCAAGGCUGCACUGCAUCCAUCAGUGUUCUAGUCUCCUGUAAAAGCAACAUAUGAGUUUUCCUAACUUCAAAAAUACAACCAACAGAGUCAAAAGUCUUGAUAUGCAUUAUGAGAAGAAACCAUCAUUGAAUCUGUGUGCAAUAUAUGCAUUUGUGGGUGUUUAGUGUUUAUCCGAGUCCACCAUUGUUUGUGCUAUGAGUAUUUAGGAGUGCGAGUGCGUGUGUGUACUUGUCGCCAAAAAAAUUAAGAUUUUACUUUUAGUCGAUCAAUCAAAAUUCAUCCAAAUACCACUUGGUUUUGGGAAUCCUAGUAUUCUCCCAAUGUUUAAGAUUUAAUAUUCAUUUUUUAUCAGCUUAAAGAUUUUUUCUAUCAAUUGAUCAUUGGUCCAACGAAACUCCACAUUCGUUGCAACCCCAAAGGUAAAAUACCCCUCCUGGCGUAAUACCAACACACUAAUAAACAUGGUAUUAAAAUAUGUGUCUCAAUACAUCAUAUUUGCUACUGCCAUUGAUAGGGAGAUUAAUAACAGACCUCUCGCAAUGUUAUCGUGUCAUAGUAAUAAUUUAUUUACUUCUUUUAUUGUAACCAAACCUAUACCAGUGCAUAUGCUUCCUAGGAGGUUCAACGUGAGAGCUUGAUAAAUUGAUGAAAAGGAUUGGAACAAAAGUAAUUUUAGUGCCUUCUUCUUCAUUGUGGCUACCGACGAAUCUUCGCGAUUUCCAUUUAGGAGGAAGAUAUGUAGAGCUUUGGAUUUUAUUGAUGCUCGGGUGUUCUCACCACCUUCUUGCCUCAAAUUGGCCUUGUUGCCUCUGUUGCUCGUGGGUUGUUUCCUGCGAGCUUCCUUCAAUUCGUGGUGCCGAUCUUCGAUAUGCUCUUUGGAGGUUGUUGAUGUUUUCUUUUUAUCCACUUUGGGGGCUCAAUUUGGCAUGAUUUCAGGCAACUAGUUCGAGUUUGGUGGUCCUUUGAUGGCAGCAGCGGCAGAGGAUGUAGGCUGCUUAGGUUUUUUUUGUUUUUUGUUGGGCUUGAUUUCGUUGUACUUUGGAGGUUCAUACUUUUGUUGUUGUGUUUGUAUUGUGUGGGCCUCUUUCUUAUAAAUGUGUAUUGUUGUUAAUAAAAAAGCAGCCCAUUGACAAAAUAAAUAAAAUAAUAAUAAUAUUUUAAAAUAGAGAUUACAAAUUGAUAUACACGUAGUAAAAGAAUCAGUGUCAAUUUCUCCAUGUUAUAGCCAUUCCACAUAACAAAUCGUCGGCAAACAAAAUCAGUUUUAGUUUUUUGAAUUAAAGAAAAAGCCAAAAAACAUUUUAGAGAGUCCAUUAGCAAGUCAAAAUCAUAAUAGCCAUAGCAGACAAACCCAGAAAAAAGAUAGAAACAAAUAAAAUCAUUCAGAUUUUAUAUACGGUUGGUUUCUCAAGUAGUGUUUACAUAUUCAUUCAGAUUAUGCAUGUAUUAGGGCGUUUUAAGCAGAACGGUAGUAUAGUAUUCAGAAUUUAUAUUCAAAUGAACUUCUUACUAUUCUACUUAAAACACCAUCUACUCAAAACUAAGUGAAAAUUGCAUCAUUUUUAUAAAACAUUGAAAAACAUAUGAACUCAUGCCCAACUUUGAUUAAUUUGACAUUAAUAGUUGGCCAAUUCAACAUUCAGAGUUGAUAGAAGAGUAUAUAACAACAUUGGAAAACAUAUGAACAUGUCCACCUAUUAUCAUAUCCGACAUUGCAGUUGAUUAAUCUCACAUAAAUUCACAUCAAAAGAACCAUAAAUUUGAUGAAGGAUUGUCAAAAAACCCACAAUUUAAACGAAAAAAAACCCACAAAUUUAAACCAAAAAUUCUAUAAAAUCAUGAGAAGUUUAAUAAAGUCCAAUUAUAUUAAUCACAAAUUUGAUCAUACAAAUCUUCACAUCCGAUAAGUUUAGAAGGUACAUCGUAUCUCUACAAGCCAAGGCUCAAAUUUCCUUGCUGCCGCCUUCAUUCGAUGAGUUCUGAUUCAAGCAGUCACAUACAUCAUAAUAAGUUGAUGUAUUCAAUGGGAAUGAACUUAUCAGAAAUUAUGAAACCAAUUGAACACGUAUAAUGUAAUGUCCGCAAUUAAAUAAUGAGCAUGAAAAAAUGACUAACAGGGCAACACAAACUGCUCAACUUAUGAAUUAAAGCAUCCAAUAUUUAGAAAAUAAUUGAGAAUUUUCAUGGUCAAAUUAAUAAGGAAAAUUAUGAUUAAAGAAACUCGAUUGUUUCAACUGCUAAUUCUGACCAAGCACCAGUAGUUCAACAUAUUGCUUAUGAUGAAAAUUAUUAUAUAUCAGUGGUGCAAAUUAGCAAGGUAAUAAUGCCUUCAAAUUUAAAUUCACCAAUUUCAUAACCUUCUCCAUCAGUACCUUCACCUUCUCUGUCAAUAGCUUCACCUUCUUUGUCAAUAACUUCACCUUGUUCGUCAGUACCUCACCUUCUCCACCCCCUCCUCCUUCAUCACCUACUUCAUCAACUCUCAAUAUCACCAAAAUUCUAAGGGGGGGUGUAUUCAAUUGGGAAUUUGAGAGAUUUUAAUGAAUUUAUAAAUCCAUGGAUUUUUAUGGACUCUAAUUGAUUUGUAGAGAUUCCAUGUAAAAUUUUGAUUCAAUUCCCUCAAAAUCUCUUGGGGAGAGGUGAGAUUUAUGCUUAAAAUACACUACAAAAUCUCUCCAAUUUCCUCUAAUUCCUCAUCUUUUUCAAAUUCUUUAAAAUCAAAUUCUAAUUGAAUACACUUGGAAUGUUAUAAACUUAUUUAAAAUUUUAAUUAAAUACACCCGGAUUUCUAAGGAUUUUAAUAAACUAUCUAAAAUCCUGAUUGAAUACACAUUGAAUUUCAAAUAAUCACUUAAAUUCCUGAUUGAAUACCCUUAGAUUCAUUAAAAGAAUUAAAAUCCAUCAAAAUCCCAAUUGAUACCCCCUACACGACUAUCCAGAUUUUAUACUAAUUUUUUUAUUUGCCCUGAAAUAGGAAAAAAACCAAAACAGUGAUCUGUUUUCUCAAGCAUAUAUGCUUGCUGAGACAUCUUUUUUUAAUUUUUUUUUUGUGACUUGUUGAAGGUCCUGAUCAUUUGUAAUCGUUGAGGACAACUUAUAUUGCACGCUACAAUUGUUGCUAAGAAUAUGUCCUAGUACUUUAAGUAUCAUAAUACAAUUUUUAAAAAUAUUUUAUUUUAAGUUUUUAACUAAUUGUAUCAUAACACUAGUUUGCAUAUUAUGUGGCCUCAUAUGCUAAUAAAAGGAUUUGGAUCCUCUCCUGAGCCUAAAGAGAGGAUCCUCCUGAUCAAGAAGUGUGAGCCGUUGGAUGAAAAUCCAAUAGUUAUAAUUAUUAUAACUUUAAAAUGACUCCCUUAUUUGUAGCCAUUUAUACCACGUAAUAUGCAAACUAGUGUUAUGAAGGGGAAGAAGGACGGAGGAGCCAGGCUUUGGAUGCGGUUUGACCACUUUGGGGGCUCAAAUCUCAUCGAGUGUGACAAGAACGCUAUUAUUCGACGCGCUGCCAUUCCCGCCCGGGACUUGAGGAUUCUCGAGCCGGUCAUCUCCCAUUCCUCCAGCAUCCUUGGUACUCGUCCUCCUCCCCUUUUUUUUAUUUUAUUUUGUCAAUUAUCUUACUUUAUAUGUGAAUUCUCUUCUGGAUCAAGGUAUGCUCUUCAAUCAAAUAUUAGAAAUACUGACCCACAGAAUUCUUGUUUGGGUUUCUUAAGCCCACUAAGAACAAGUCUACUGGAUGGUGGAAGGCAAGGGCAAGGGCCCAAAAGAUGCCCUUUGUGAAGUUUCAGAUUCUCAUUAACGUUAGGGUAAACUUUACAAGGCUUUAUAUACUAAGGUCAUCUCCAAUAGAGGGCUAGUCAGAGGGCUCGUUUUAGCCAUCUGGCCCUCCAAGAUAUUAAUAUUUUAAUGAACAGUACAUGGUCAUAUUUGCAUACAUCUCCAAUCGAGGGCCAAAGGGUCAUAGGGCUCAUUUUAACCCUGUCACAAAAAACCGUCUCCAACCGAGGGUCAAAGGGCCAAACAUAAUUUAUUAUUUAAAUUUAAAAACUACAACAACUUAAAUUCAAAUCCAACAACUUAAAUUUUGUGAGGAAUGGUGAAUGAAUGGUUUAGGUAUUUAUAGGAAAAAAAUUAGAAUUUUUUAGAAUUUAAAAAAAAAGGCCCAAAAAACCUUAAAAAAUAUAUAUAUAUAUAUAUAUAUAUAUAUUUGAAUCCAACGGUAACGCAAACUAGUCGUUGGAUUCAAAUUUCUUUUUAAGCAUUCCUGUUGGUUAUAACCGACAUGAUUAAUGUUUUUUCUGGCUAGCCAACCCUCCAGCCCUUUGGCCCUUUCAGAUUCUGUGGGGCCCUCUCAGAUUCCACGAGCCACCUGGCCUAGCUCUCGGUUGGAAACAGUUUCAGGCUAUUUUCGAUCAUCUGGCCCUCUGGACCUUUUGGUUGAAGAUGGCCUAAGGGCGUGUUUACCAAACCGGAAUGAAAGUGUGGGAAACGGAAUUGCACGAAUUCCAAGUUAUUCAAGCAUUUACCAAACCGUAGGGAAUCAACAUUCACGUGGGACCCAUCCAAAAUACGGAAUACAAUUCCUUAAAUUCUCGGAAUUUGAUUCUCAAUUUGGAGGUGGGAAUUGAGUUCUUGGAAAUAGAUUCAUCAGGGAUCCAAGUUUUCUACCAAUAGUGUCCAUAUGCUUUUUUGGUAAACCCAAAUACCCCUCACAAUUUCACCUCCCCAGUUCCAUGACCAGUCUAUAGACCCAUCUCUCUUCUCCCCAAACCCACCAAUUCCUAACGGAUGAGCUUCGACUCCGGUGAAAUCCCGACCCCAUUCUCCUUGCCCUGUCGCCGCAAACUAGCAGACUAUCCAAAACCCAUGCAUGAACUCACAAAUAGAGGGGAAAAUGUGUGGCGUGGCCGCAUGGUCAUCUUAAGACUAAGAACAGGGGGUGGGGAGGAGCUGGGUUUGGGAUGUAGGGGGGAGAAUAUUGUUUUUUGGGUUUUUUUUUUUGUGAUUUUAUAUUUUUAUAAAUUUGUUAAUUAUUUAUUUUGCUAAAUAGUUCUGUUUUCAUAUAGCUAAUUGGAUUUUAUGAGCAUACUUAUCAAAAUUAACCAUUAACUGGCAUAUAAAAAUAUUAUUUAUAACAAGGGCAGUUUAGUAAUCAAAUGGGUUUCAAUUCCGGUUCAUGUGAGUUAGUAAACAACUUUUAUGUAAUCAACAUCAUUUUUACUCUGAUUCCAGAUAGUUUAGUAAACAGCUUCAACAUGAAUCCAAUUUUGAUUCCACCCCAUUCCAUCUUCUCCUCAAUUCAAUUCCUCCUACUCUGAUUACGGAUUAGUAAAAAGCCAUAAGAGGUCUGCAAAACAUAGGAGUCUUGAAGCAGCUAUACAAUUAAAUGCAAAUUACAAAUAAAUGAUAAUAGCUCAUCCUAAUUGCCUUUGUGAUAUAAACCCCAUCCUGACUACCCUUGUCUACACCCUCCAACCCAUUUAACAACGAGUACGGCUCCUCUCUAGAUCUAAAAAAACUAAGACUAAAGAUUAAAUGAUCCAGACCGUUGAAAUUUGAUUUAACAACUACAAACAGGGGACUCCCUCUAAAAAUUAUAAUAAUUGUAGUUGGUGGAUAAAUUUCAACGGUCCGAAUCAUUUGAUCCUUAAUUUCAGUUUUUUUAGAUCUAGGGAUGAUUUGUACUCUUUAACAACCUCGAACGGUCCAAUUUUACAAAGGCAACUGAGAGAGAUUUUUCACUGUAACAGUCACACAUGAUGGUACACCACUUGUCGCUAUAUAAAUGAUGUGAUAUGUAUGUUAAAAAUUUAAUAACUUAAAAAAAAAUAUUCCCAAUACUCACAUAAAAACACAUGAUGUACCACAUGUAUUUCUGUUACAACUAAAAAUUUCUCGGCAACUGGUGGGCCAUGCAAUACCCGUCCAAAUGCCUGAGCAAGACAUGUUGGCCUUGCGCUAGUUUAAGCUUUUUACUUUCAAAAUAAUUCUUUAUGUUUUAGUGACAAAAGAUACGAAUUUACAUUGCAACUUGAGCCAUCAUUUACUCAAAACUACAAAAAUGCCAUUGAAAAGUAGCACUUCCUCUAUAAAAUCCAGUUGGGUUAAAUGUACAUCUUGAAAGGGGUGUUUGCCGCCCACAGCACCACGUGUAUAGGACUUUCAAAUCCUUGACCUCGGUUCUUGUUCUCUUCUGUUGAAAUUAAAAUAUCCAUUGGUACUUGAGUGAAAUAAAAUCAUCGGGGCCUUGUACAAGGCCCAAACUUAUUUUAGUUCCAAGCAUCUUGUUCUUUUUUCUUUUUUUUUCUGGGAAACCUUAACGGUACGAGAUAAAUUUUAUUAAUAAUGAAAAAAAAAGUUACACCUAGUCAGGGGAGACAUAAACCUUACCCCUUAUAAAUCAGAGAUAACAAAAACAAUACACAAAAAAGAAAGGGAGGACAUAAACCAUACCCUUCUAAAAACGAAAACAAUAAAGAUACAAAGAAAAUAAGGGGGACAUGAAACCUAACCCCUCUAAAACGAAACAUAAAGGUCUAAACCUGCAAAACAAGUUGAGCAACACCAAAAAGUUAGGAAAAAAAAAAGUGAGACAAAUAUGGAUGCCAAGAUGCACAUUAAUUUGAGAAGCGAUAGCCAAGCAGGCCAACAUAAUCUGAAAACAAUGCAGCAAGCAAUUGUCAUAGGAGAAUCAUGCCAAGUUAAAGUUGGAGAAGACAAGCCCAUGUUAGCAAAAUUGUCCGCAACAAAAUUACCUUCCCGAUAUAUGUGAGAUGAGUAGAAAGUCAUUUUUCGAAUGCAGUCCAAACAAAUAGAUCAUUACGUACGAAGAUGCCAUGGAGGAUCAAAAUCAAACAGUUGAAGAGCAGAAAUAACACUAGAGCUGUCACUUUCCAACCAAAGACAAUGUCAACCCAGCUGAUAUGCAAACUCUACACCAAUAAUAAUUGCAUAUAAUUAUGCAAAAAAGAGAGUUGCAAUAACUAAUCUAUUGGUAGAAACCACCAAGAAAAUGACCAUGACAGUUCCUGAAAACUUCAUAUGUAUUAAGUUUAAUCCAAGGAAACCAAGGAGGAGACCAAAGGAUAGGAAGAAUAGUAGGCGCCUUGCGAGAGAUAGGUCGGAUCCCCAUCGAAGAGAUGAUUCGAGUGUCAAAACCCUAAAAGUAACCAGUAAUAAACUUUCCACCAUGAACAAUCGCAUAAUUGAUAGACAAGCAGAGAUGAUGAAAAUAUAGUGGUCGACCUUAAAAAAUAAACUUAUUUCAAGCCUUCCAAAUAGCUGCAAUAGUAGAAAGACUCGUAAAAAUCCAAAGAUUAUGCAACUGUUGGGAAAAGUGCUUACGCGCAUAGAUAUCCCCAAAAACAUCCAAAGAAUCUGAAAGAAGCAAAGAGGUACCAAAAUGGCAUGCUAACCACCUCCAAAGCUGCCUAGAUACCCAAACAUCUCGUUCCUUUUUUCCCUUCCUAAUAAUUAGGAAUGAAUAUUGUCUACCAUUAACAGAGGUGAAUGAUGAAAAAAAGUGAUGAAUUUUAUUUUAUUUUCAAGGCACAAGUAGUUAUUAUUUUCAUCUACAGAAAGAAUAAAUGGAAAAUUUUCAGAUUGACCAAGAUGAAUUUAAUUGAUCUACAAAUAAAUCUUUCGAUUUGAGGACUACUCAUUCCUAAAAAAGGACACGUAUUUCAUAAAACUGAUUAAAUAGAUCAAUUAUUGCAACCACAUGCUUUUGACUGACUUACAAAUUUUUCCAUAACGACUUUGUCUACUGUCUUUGUAGGACCGGAUGUAGAAAAUGAAACAAUUACCCUAAUAUAAACAAGGAAGAAAAUGAAAGAUUUAGCUCUGAGUACUUAUCGAAUAGACAUUAAGAUACUGCCAAUCCUCAGACCGCAGCCUAUCAUCAUUUGAACACUUGUUCAAAUUUACAAUUCUUUAGAUUAUUAAUGGUAUUUUAUUAUGAACACUUGUUCAAAUUUACAAUUACAAUUAUUUAGAUUAUUAAUGGUAUUUUUGUGACAGCCCGUCCCUAAUUUUAAGAAUUUUUAAAAUUUUAAUAAAGGAUUUUACAAAAAUGCCCUUUGAGGCACGCAUAUCAUUCGAGGUUAAUCGUUGUGUCGUGCCAUCUAAGAUUUGUUUUCUUGACAUAUCCUCGUAGUACUCGUCGUUACAGACGCGUGGGCGCAGACGGUUCGUGAUUUGAAGUUAUAUCGAAGAAGUUAUUAACGUUUGAAAUUUGGGAUUUUAAGGAAUUACAAUUUUAGUAAAAUAUAGAAAUUCUUUUAUGAAAAUGGACGGCCCAGAUUUAAUGGAAUUUGAAAUGGAUGGCUGAGAUGAGGGAAAGGUUUUUGGUGUGUGUAUGUGUAUGAGAAGAAGAACAAGAAAACAGAAAAAGAAGAAGAGGGAUUGGGCAAAGCUGCCCAAUCGGAGAAGAAGGAGGAGAGGCGAAUCAGAAGAAGAGAGAGGGAAAAACUGACCAACCAGAGGAGGGAAAGGAGGAAAGGAGAGAGGGCGAGAAGCGGAGGAGAGAAGGAAGAAAUGGGUUUUCCCCAACCCGUAUACCCGCGCGACCCGUGCUUCCAAUCGGCGGGUUUUCGUCGUUUUCAUCCAAUUUUCCAACGAAUUGAAUCAAGGUACCACUUCCAAUCAACAUCUAGGCCUUCCCUCUUCACGUUUCACCCCAAGAAUCAUUGAAUUGCAUGGUGAUUUCGCGAAGAACACCCACACGGGUGCCGCGACCUUUUUCUUUAAAUUCAUCAAAUUUUGAAAUUUUUUCUUUCAAUUACUAACACCAUUAGCAUUCCUUUAGGACCUAGAACAAAGCCCAAGAGGUAGUUGAGGCGUUGGAACAAUUUUGAAGGUCGAAUUGGAAACACCCAAUUCUAGGGUUCUUCACGGUUUUGGUGAAAUUGAAGAACUUCCAGGCCAAAUUGGCCUUGGCCACAGGUAUGAAAGUUGUUCUCCUCAUUGAGAUCUUCAAAUCUGAAAAUUUUGGUAAUUUUUGGAAAUAGUUGAAUUUUCCGGCGAGCCGGGGCGGCCACUCGCGGUGGCCCACGCGGCGGCGCGUGGCCAAUGGCCCGCCAAUGUCAUUAUUAGCCUGUGUUUGAGGUUCUAGGUUCAGUUUUGAUAAUUGAUAGACGUAAAUUGAAUAAUUGAACCUAAGUUGGUUAUGAUUCGUGGUUAGGUGAAAAUGUGAAUUGACGAUCCGACCGUUGGAUCGUCAUCAAACUUUGAUACGUUGUAAUACGUAAUAUUUGAGGAUUAUAGGAACUUACGGAUUGGGAAUCCGAUUUACGGAUCUUCCGGAAUUGAAGUUGUAAGUUCAUAAAAUAGAAUGUUAACCGUCACUUAGUUUUGGAAAUUGACGGAGAUCCGACCGUUGGAUGGUAAUGAAAUUUUAGGAUGUUGUCCUAGAGGUAUAUUGUGGACCUCUGGAAGUUACGGAUUUGAAAUCUGAGUUGCAGAUCAUCCGGAUCGAACUACGUAGUGACGUGUCUUAUAUAAGUUAUGUAUUCGAUCGGCAGGAUUUCUGAGGUUGGAUUUGAUUAUUGUUCUAGGCACUGAUCGUCACAACGCCUUGAUGUACGGUGCUAGGGAGUUGUUGGGCGAACUCCAGGUGAGUGGGCAGUUUUGAUUUCGUAUUACCUAUAUACAACUGUUUUUCCCAGAAAAUACGCUUUUAUGAAAGUUAUGAUUUCAAUUGCCAUGCAUGCAAUCGUUGAGAUAAUUAGUUUGAUAAAUGAUGCAUAUAUAUAUGAAUUGAUGCGGUGGACGUACAUGUGAGUUUUAUUAAUAUGCAGAUGAUUUAUUUUAUAUGAAUUGCAUUGAAAAGCUCAUAACCUGCACCUAGGUGAUAGUGCUUAUAUUAUUAUUCACCACACCGCACGCUCGUCUUGGAUCCAAGUAGGUGGAUGUCGUACAGACCAUGUGAGGGUUCCGACAUGCCAGUCGUACAGACCAUUAGAGGGGUUCCGACUGGUAGGUGACCUUAGAUAUGCGCGCUGAUGAUUGAUGUGAGAAGCACUAGAGCGUAUUUAUACACCUGUCAUCGUACAGAUUACCUUAUGUAGUUCCGAGUGACGUGCAGAGUUAGACCGUACAGGUCACCGAGGUGACUCCGGUUGGAUUAGAUGUUAAGCUUUAGAAUCAGCCGUACAUGACCACUGUAGGGUCUCCAUUCACCUGAUUGAUAUGGAUGCAUUCUGAUUAUGUUUUCGACACUUGGCAUGGCAUAUUUUUCUGAAAAGUGUUAAAGGAUUGUGAUUUGAGAUUUUUGCUUAUAUAUAUGCUUAUAUAUAUAUAUGUUUAUAUGCUAUUUUCUGGGAAAGUAUACAGGUUUUACGGCGAGGGGUUAGAAAUGUUUUAAAUGAAAAGUUUUCGAAAAACUUUGUUUUACUGACCCACUCAAUUUUAUUUUGCGCCCCUCCAGGUCCUAGAUAGCAGAGCUUUGGUGGCCACGAGGAAUCUAACGGUGUUCUGACAGAAUUCACAAAAGUAGGACUCAUCAUCGGGUGGGUCAUCUUAGUAAUUGUAAUUUUUUUUUUAAAAGCUUCCGAACUGUGUAAAUGGUUACGUCACUCUCACGUGACGGCCAGCACGCCCUCCUUCGGGACGGGGUGUGUCAAUUUUAUUAUGAACACUUGUUCAAAUUUACAAUUCUUUAGAUUAUUAAUGGUAUUUUAUUAUAUAAUUCCAAAGGUUGAGCAAAGACUUCUCCUCCAAUUUUGUCUUAUUCCUGCUGAUUGACUUAUAAAUUUUCCACAACAACUUUGUCUAUCGUCUUUGUGGGGGAUGGAUGUAGAAAAAGGAAGCUCUUUUCAUAAAAUUCCAAGGUUGAGCAAAAGACUUCUCCUCCAAUCAUAUGUUUCUUUGGAAGAAGAAGAAGAAUAAAAAAAAAAAUCAUCUUAAGACAAAAAUGGAAAUAAGAUCAGCCCUAGAAUAUUAUGCAAUAUUAAUGUUGAGCUGUCAAUUAUUAUGAAUCGUGUUUGUACCAUACUUGACCAAUCCCGAAACUACCGAGCACCGGCCAACGCUAUACUGUCAAGGACCCAGAAGAGUUCCCCUCCGACCAGGAGGCCAAUCACUACUCGACACGUGUCAAGAUUAGAAGCCAAUCAGAGCGCAGCACGUGUCGACAUCAAGAACCAAUCACAACAUGACACAUGUCAAUGUGACAAAGCUACAAGUUUUUCUAUAAAUAGGGGUCAUUCCCCCACAAUAUUGCCUAAUGCCAUUUGUGUUAAAUCAUUCACAAGAACUCACUAAAUUGAGAGCUUGAUCCUUUGUACUUGUGUAAGCCCUUCACUACUAAUAAGAACUCCUCUACUCCGUGGACGUAGCCAAUCUGGGUGAACCACGUACAUCCUGUAUUUGCUUCUCUGUCUCUAUUCAUUUACGUACUUAUCCUCACUAGUGACCGAAGCAACCAAGCGAAGGUCACAAAAACCUGACACUUUCUGUGUGUACCAAAGUCUUCGCAGAUUUUGUGCAUCAACAUUUGGCGCCGUCUGUGGGAAACGACACUUAUUCCUACUCUCUUCAGCUGUGUCAAGCUGGUUUCUAUCAUUCGUACACUUUCUUUUGACCAGGCAUCCCUCUCCAACAUGGGAAGCGAAGGAAGUCACAGCACACAGAAUGACACCCCCCUUGCACAUAGUGCGAAACAACGAAAGAAGGAAGGAAAACGAGUUAUUCUUCAAGCUAAAGUCGAUGAGUUGGAAGCUCAGAACAACAAGAUAGCAAUGAGGAAUGAGGUCCUCCAGGAGCAAUAUGAGAAGCUCUUCGAGACAUUCCACGAAGCUAGGCAAGCUCAGACACGCGAGCUUGUUGCCCCCGUGGAAGUCAACCAUCAACUGGGUGCCCUCCAACAUGGAGGGUCACAUGCAUUCGACAUAGAUAUCCCUGAUAGGGAACAGAUUACCCCUCGACUUGAUAAUCAACAUAAGGCUUCUCUUAACCCAGUUGCUUCGACCCGAACCAUGAGAAGUGGAGGGAGACACCUCUUUGCUGAAGGGGCAGAAGGAUCGAAAGCCGUCUUUCGCGAUUGUCGGGAUUUCCUGAAGCAACGUCGAGAGAAUUCCAUCCAUAUAAGCUCAAAGAUUAAUGACCCAAGGAUUUCUGAGAGACUCGGUCCCCUGCCACGGCCCAAGCCGGCCACCAAUUUGGGGAAGGGGCAACAAGUCCCAAAGAGACAUGAGGGUACAGGGGACUCAGAGGUGUUCCGACAGACAUACCCUGGAAGCCAGUACAGCGAGUCCAGGGAAAAAUCACAUGCCCUUGAUCAAACCUUCCUAAUUCCAAGAGGAGAUGGAGAUUUACGAAAGAAAGCUCCAGUGACACAUAACUCCGCUCAGGACCCCCUUGUCCUACAACUUCUUGAGGAAGUAAACAAGUUGAAGGCUGAACGUCAGGCUGAAAUACCUGACUGGAACCAAACCCAGGCCUGGCCCUCUUACAAGGAGGAUCCUCAACACCCCCCUUCAAGCAAAGACAAAGCAAAAGCUUGGCUUGCAACUUUAUACUGGAAAAGAGGACCCGAUUGAGCACCUUAACCUCUUUGAGUCCACCAUGGCAUACCGGAUGCACACCGACGAAGAGCGAUGUCUUCUCUUCCCCUCCACCCUCUCUGGUGGAGCUCUAAAUUGGUAUUGUCGUCUUACACCUGAGACGGUAGACUCAUUUGAGGAAUUGAGGAAACUAUUUGUUUCCCAACACAUUUUCCAAACCGAUCGCUUGCACUCUGCAGAUGACUUGUACACUAUCCGCCAGAAGCCAGACGAGUCAUUACGUAUGUAUGCUGGCCGCUUCAGCCAUGAAUACUCCCGGUGUGCCGAGGCAGAUGACAAGACUGCCCUCAAAGCCUUCACGGCAGGCCUACGUGAUUGUUUCUUUAAAUACAUGAUCAAUGCCAAUACUUGGAAGACUUACUCUGAGGUGAUGGCGCAGGCUUAUAACCAUGCCUCCGCCGAGGCAAAGACAUAUCAGGAGAAACCCCCUACAACCAUCCUUUAUCAACAAGUGGGAGGUGGAAGCCAGACUCACCUAAAUGAGAAGACCUCGACUUCCCAAACAGCAGUGGCACCUCCCCAUGCCUUGCAUAAUGCUUCACCGAAUCAACAGACAUAUCAAUUUCAAGGCAAGAGGAAGGAUUUCCAUCCUCACCACUCUCCUUUCAGUAAAAAGAGUAAGGGACACUAUCCCGAUAACCAAGGGUAUCGCCACAAUAACGCUCGCCCCCAGGCAGUCAAUGCAGUGGGUCAAACCCGCGUCAAGAUACCCCCUACCCCAAGGUAUGAGACAUACACGCCCUUGAAUGCCACAUGCGCGGCCAUUUACCCCAGCAUAGCUCACCUGAUACCAAAGCCAAAGCCGAGGCACCCAGAUUACACGCCCCCCGAAUAACGCGGGCAUGUUUUGUUGCUACCAUGAGCAUAACGGCCAUGAUAGCGAGAAAUGUAUCAUCCUCCGUGAUCGUAUUGAAGCUUUGGCACGAGAAGGAAAAAUUGAUCAAUUCCUCCUUCACCCUCAAAGGGAUAACCGUAACCAACGCCAGGUGAAUGUCAUAUAUUCCAUAAGUGGCGGCACACCCAUAUCUGAAUCUUCCAAUAGGGCCAUGAAAAACAGUGAACGAAUUCUGAGGCCUGGUCACCAAGUGUUUCACGUGGAAGACAUCAGGGGAGGGAAGUAUCAAAAGCCUAACUGGGAUCCGAUAUGUUUCUACCCUGAGGAAGAAAGAGGCAUCAUCUACCCUCAUAACGACCCAUUGAUCGUGGAGGCUCACAUAGCCAACUUUGAUGUUCGACGAAUCCUCGUAGACACAGGGGCUUCGGUCAAUAUCAUGUUUGCCGAAGCUUUCAGGGCACUCAGUGUAGCUGAACACUUGCUCGAUCGCUCGAUUUCUCCUCUGAUAAGCUUCUCCGGUGAUAUCGUGCAACCCUUAGGGAGCAUACAUUUACCCUUUACUAUUGGUACAGGCCCUUACACGGCUACCAUUACCACUAACUUCCUAGUGGUUGACUGCCCAACGGCAUACAAUGUCAUCUUUGGGCGCACAGGCAUCAAUGAUCUCAAGGCUAUGGUAUCCACGCAUAUGCUGUUGAUGAAAUUUCCAACCCCCCAUGGCAACGGCUACAUCAGAGGAGAUCAGCUUAGUGCACGAUCAUGUUACAACACUUCAGUUAAGCAACAACACUUGCCCGGACCCAAGGAAACCCUGUAUGUACAUGACCAAGUCACAAAGACCAGCCUAGAUGAAGCGAACUUGGAUCUUCCUGAUAGCAACAAUCAACCCGAUGAUCCUCGAGAUGACUCUUUCACCCAGCAAGCCCAACCUGCUGAAGAGUUGGAGAAGGUACCUAUCUCAAGAGAUUAUCCAGAUCGCAUGGUGAAGAUUGGCACCACAUUGUCACCACCCCUUCGGUUAGCAUUGAUAUCUUUUUUGAAAGAGAACACUGAAGUCUUCGCCUGGUCAUACGAGGACAUGCCAGGCAUCUCUCCCGAUGUCAUCUGUCAUCGUUUGAGUAUUGACCCCAAGAUCAAGCCAGUGAGACAGAAGCGAAGAUCUUAUGACGCUGAACGAUACGAGGCAAUGAAAGCAGAAGUUGAAAAACUCAAAGGCAUAGGCUUUGUCCGCGAAGUCAAUUACCCGACAUGGGUAGCAAAUGUGGUCCUUGUUAAGAAAAAUCCGACCAAAGAAAGUCUUUUGCUUCAAAAGGUCUUGUGGAGAAUGUGUGUUGACUACACCGACCUAAACAAAGGGUGUCCGAAAGAUAACUUCCCUCUUCCUCUUAUUGACAGACUUAUAGACUCUACGGCCGGGUGUGAACUCCUGAGCUUUAUGGAUGCUUACUCAGGAUACAACCAAAUCCUCAUGAACCCUUCGGAUCAAGAACACACAGCCUUCACUACCGACAGAGGACUAUACUGCUAUAAAGUCAUGCCUUUCGGCCUAAAGAAUGCAGGAGCGACUUAUUAGAGACUAGUCAACUCAAUGUUCGCCGAGCAGAUUGGGAAGAGCAUGGAAGUUUACGUUGAUGAUAUGUUAGUCAAGAGCAAACAUGCUGACCAACACAUCACCAACCUAUCUGAAACUUUCACUAUUUUGAAGAGGUAUCGAAUGAGGUUAAACCCCAACAAAUGUGCCUUCGGCGUAGGCUCUGGCAAAUUCUUAGGUUUCAUGAUUAGCCAACGAGGCAUUGAAGCUAAUCCCGAGAAGAUCAAAGCAAUCCUCGACAUGAAGGAACCGGUAACUUCAAAGGACAUCCAGAGCCUUACUGGCAAGGUGGCAGCCUUAACUAGGUUCAUUUCUAAGGCCACAGACAAAUGUGCUCCCUUUUUUAAAGCACUUAAGGGAAGUAGGAAGUACAUUACAUGGACUGAUGAAUGUGCCGAGGCAUUCAAAAACCUCAAGGAGUACAUGAGUAAAGCCCCUCUACUCUCCAAGCCCGAGGUAGGAGACAUUCUCAUUAUCUACCUAUCGGUAUCAGCUUCAGCCGUAAGUUCCGUUCUCAUUCGAAAGGAUGGGAAUAUUGAGCGACCUGUCUACUACGCUAGCAAAGCCUUACAAGAUGCGGAGACACGGUACUCUAACAUUGAGAAAUUGGCUCUGGCAUUGGUCAUGUCUGCUCGAAAACUCCGCCCUUACUUCCAAGCGCACUCCAUCAUCGUGCUUACCAAUUAUCCUCUUCGACAGAUACUCCAAAGUCCUGACACUUCAGGGCGAAUGAUCAAAUGGGCAAUAGCGUUGGGUGAGUUUGACAUCUCCUACCAACCAAAGCCAGCUGAGAAGGGCCAAGCAGUGGCAGACUUCAUUGCCGACUUCACAUAUCCGGUUGACAUUGCUUCUACACCUGAAGCAGUGGCUUCAUUACCCCCGGAAGCUCAGAAGAUAGAACCAACAACCCCAGCAUGGAGUCUGUAUGUUGAUGGCUCAUCCAACCAACAGGGCUGUGGAGCGGGACUAGUCUUGACUACACCCGACAAAGUAGCAAUGGAGUAUGCUUUUCGUUUCAAAUUCAAGGCAUCAAAUAAUGAGGCCGAGUAUGAAGCCCUUCUAGCAGGAUUACGUUUGGCCAAACACCUCGGGGUUAAACAAAUUGAUAUUUUCAGUGACUCCCAAUUGGUGGUCAACCAGGUUACCAACAACUUUGAUGCUAAGGACAGCUCCAUGGCAGCAUAUCUUGCGCAAACACAACUUUUGCUCAAGCACUUCCACUACCAGAUCACCCAAGUUCCGCGAGCGGCAAACAGUCAUGCAGACGCCCUGGCUCGCCUCGCCUCGGCUGUGGAAGACAAGAUUGGAAGAAAAAUUCAUGUCGAACUGUUGGCAAACACCAAGCACCAUGGCCGCAGAAGUAUGCAACUUACAACAGGGGGAUAGUUGGAUCACCCCGAUCUAUAAUUUCCUUGCUCAUGGCACCCUCCCAAAUGAUAAAGUCCAGGCUAAGCAAAUUCGAUACAAGUCUACCCGCUACCUGAUCAUCAAUGAUCAACUCUAUAAGCGAGGUUUUAGCCUGCCAUACUUAAGGUGUCUUACGCCUGCCGAGGCGGAAAUCGUCCUUCGGGAAAUACAUGAGGGAGUCUGUGGAGAUCAUGCUGGAUCUCGGUCCCUAGCACACAAGACUUUUCGCCAAGGAUAUUACUGGCCAACACUCCACCAGGAUGCCAUCAAAGUAUCCCGCUCAUGUGACAAAUGUCAACGAUAUGCAACUAUUCCUCAUUCCCCUCCAGAGCCUCUUACUCCUAUGAUCAGCCCUUGGCCCUUCGCCCAGUGGGGACUUGAUUUGAUCGGCCUAAUGCCGGCAGGCAAGGGCAAAGUCUGUUACGCAGUCGUUGCAGUGGACUACUUCACAAAGUGGGCCGAAGUAGAACCCUUGGCAACCAUUACUGAGGCAAAGAUAGAAGACUUCGUGUGGAAGAACAUCCUUUGUAGAUUCGGCAUUCCCAAUGCGAUAGUCACUGACAAUGGGCGACAGUUUGACAACAAGAAGUUCAGGUUGUUCUGCUCUAAGUUCAACAUCAACUUAUGCUUUGCCUCUCCAGCUCAUCCCCAGUCUAAUGGACAAGUUGAGGCCAUCAACAAAAUAAUCAAGCGCACUUUGAAAACCAUCUUGGACAAAGCUAAAGGCUGUUGGCCAGAAUUUGUACCCCAAGUUCUUUGGUCAUAUCGCACUUCAUAUCGGACUUCAACAGGAGAAACUCCAUUCUCACUUGCCUUUGGCACAGAGGCGGUUGUCCCUGUUGAGCUCGAGCAAGCAACAUUCCGAGUCUAGAACUACAUUCAAAGUGAAAAUGACAAACAACUCACCCUCAACUUGGAUUUAGUCGAGGAACACAGAAACCAAGCUCACUUGAGGAAUGUCGCCUACAAGCAGCGCAUCUCCAACUAUUAUGACUCUAGGGUCAAGCCUCGUUCUUUCAAAAUAGGAGACUGGGUCUUAAAGAAAAGAUUACUCUGCGACAGAGUCCCGAGUGAAGGCACACUUAGUCCAAACUGGGAUGGACCGUAUGAAGUCAUUGGCAUCAGUCGCCCUGGCUCUUACACACUUAGAAGCUCCGAUGGCAAGACCCUUGGCCAUCCAUGGAACGCUGAUCACUUGAAGUACUACUACAAAUAGACUCACGAUGUACAAGUGUUGAGCUAUAGCCGUUCGGCAUCCUAUGUAAUGAAGGUCAUUUGGCAAUGAAUUCAAUAAAGAGGUAAUUUAGCCAACUCAGCCCUCACUCUUUUACAUUUUAUAGCAAGCGAUGCCGGAACCCUUCUCAAUCAGAAAGCAAUCCGUCUUCCACAGUCACUACAAAAACAAGCAAAUGAAGACCGUGUCAAGCGCCAAAAAAAAAAAAAAAAAAAAACUUCACCCGAAAAGCUUCAUCCAAAAAACUUCACCCGAAAAGCUUCACCUCCAAAGCUUCACCCACAAAGCUUCACCUAAAAAGCUUCACCCACAAAGCUUCACCCAAAAAAAAAACUUCACCCGAAUAGCUUCACUUAAAAAAGCUUCACCUACAAAGCUUCACCUAAAAAAUCUUCACCUAGAAAGCUCCCUCUACAUACUUUCAUCUACAAAGCUUCACCAUCAAAGCUUCACCUCGAAAGCUUCAUCUACAAAGCUUCAUCUACAAAGCUUCACCAUCAAAGCUUCACCUAGAAAGCUUCAUCUACAAAGCUUCAUCUACAAAGCUUCACCAUCAAAGCUUUACCCAGAAAGCUUCAUCUACAAAGCUUCACCAUCAAAGCUUCACCUCGAAAGCUUCAUCUACAAAGCUUCAACACCAAAGCUUUACCUACAAAGCUUCAACACAAAACCUUGCUCCAAAUAAACAAAUUUUGUUCACAAAACCCAAGAUGCCCUUGAACUUGUACAAAAACACUUGGGUAAACAUAAACAUUUUUUGUUUUACACCCACAAGGGCCCAAAAUUUUCCUUCUUAUUUAUUCAUUUAUAUAUGUUCCCAAACAUAUUAUAAUAGAUCCAACAACAAGCCAAAGUCCCAAGUUUCAUAAUGGACAAAAGUACAAGCAAUUCAUCAAUAAUGAAGGUGCUACAAAAAUUGGAAUCUGCCCCAAAAUAGAAAUCCAACCCAAGAGACUUUUUCUUUCUCUCCCUCUUCCGCCUCCUUUCAUCUAUCAAAUUUCUGCAACCUCUGCUCUUCUCCAAUGGAGCUGAAUUUUGGACACCCUAUAGUUUUUGAGCAUAUGAACAACUUUCAAGAAGGAAUCGUUUCUGUUUGAGCGACGGAAAUUAAAGUGUUGAAGCUCCAAACAUGAUAGUCGGCUUCUUGCAGAUUUCGAAGCUGUUGUGAUGUUUCGAAGAUCUGGAAAUAUUUAACCGUUAGUUCAUCCUGAAUUUUUGAUAUGUUAUGAAAGAGUCGAUGAGGAACAACUUCAAUGAAGAAAGCAUGCCGAUCUGAACAAUAGAAAAUGGAGUUUCGAAGCUCACAACAAAUCUGACGGGUUGACAGAAAAAUAAUAACCAGUCAUUCAUCAUACCUGGAUUUCUGGAGUUAUACUGCUCCGAGGGAUCUCAAAUUUUGAUAUGUUGUAGUUCACGAGCUGAGGAACAACUUCAAUGAAGAAAGCAUACCGAUCUGAACAAGAGAAAAUGGAGUUUCGAAGCUCCCAACAAAUCUGACGGGUUGACAGAAAAAUAAUAACCAGUCAUUCAUCAUACCUGGAUUUCUGGAGUUAUACUGCUCCGAGGGAUCUCAAAUUUGGAUAUGUUGUAGUUCACAAGCUGAGGAACAACUUCAAUGAAGAAAGCAUGCUGAUUUGAGCAAGAGAAAAUAGAGUUUCAAAGCUCACAACAAAUCUGACGGGUUGACAGACAAAUGAUAAACAGUCACUCAUCAUACCUGGAUUUCUGGAGUUAUACUGCUCCGAGGGACCUCAAAUUUGGAUAUGUUGUAGUUCACAAGUUAAGGAACAACUUCGAUGAAGAAAGUAUGUUGAUAUGAACAAGAGAAAAUGGAGUUUCGAAGCUCACAACAAGUCUGACGGAUUAACAGAACAUUGAUGAACAGUUACUCAUCAUACUUGAAUUUCUGAAGUUGUACUACUCCGAUGGAUCUCAAAUUUGGAUAUGUUGUAGUUCACAAGAUAAGGAAAAACUUUCAUGAAGAUGACUUUGCAAUCUGAGCUAUAGAGAAUGGUGUUAUCUUGCAUCCACUCAGGCUGAUUAGUGGAAACGAAAAGCAAUUCCACCAAAGAAAAGAUGAAAAAGAGAGAAAAAAGCUACUAAUUGCACUUGAUCUUGUCUAGUCAAUAGCAUGCAGCAUCAAACACACAAAAGUUGGAAAUAUUUUUAGAUAAAGCAUAUACGAAUGUGUGACAUCGAAACAAGGAUUCGUUACUUUGACAAAUUAGUAACACGCGAGACGCCUCAUUCGGCAACUCUCUUCGCCUGAAGACUUGGGGGACUCCCACCAUAUGCUACUGCACCUUGAUACUCGGCAGUCUCACAACCACUCAGUGACUUGGAUUUUUCAAGUCUCCAACCGAGAAGUUUUCCUCACUCGGGAAAUUAAGGGAACACUACCUCAAACUACAUGCUUCACUCACAAAGCUUCAACAAUACAGGUUUCAACAAAAGCAAAAAUUCAAAGAACUUUAUGAAGAAGGCUUUGGUGUAUUUAACACAAUAUGUUGAAGUGAAGCAAAGCUUAUUUAUUAAUAUUUUCGAUAAGCCACAAAUAUGUACAUAUACAUGAGUCAAAAUAAACAAACAAAAGGGAGCCUUCACAAAGGUUGCUUAGGGGAAGUCUCAGCAGUCGGUAGAGCCCCAGAAAGAGAAAAGCACCGGAGGGUGGUUAUCCGGAGCCUCAGUACUUGACAAAACCCCAGAAGGAGGAGGCAUUGGAGGUUUAUCAUUUGAAGCUUCAUUACCAGGUACAGCCCCAGAGGACGAAGGCAAUAAAUGCCUUUGGAACAAACCCACAAACCGCUGAUGAUCAAGUAAAACCUUACCAUCAGAUUCCUUCAUCUGGUCAAGCUUCCUCUUCAUGUUUGUAGCAUAGUCAUGGGCGAGCCGGUGCAACUGCUUAUUCUCAUGCUUGAGCCCUCUAAUCUCCUGUUUGAGACUCAUCACUUCAGCAGCCAAUGAUUCAACUUGGCGGGUUCUAGCAAAUAGGCGUUGGGCCAUAUUAGACACAGAACCUGCACACUGAACACUAAGAGCCAGAGAGUCCUUAACAGCCAACUCAUCAGACCGUUUGGAAAGUAGUCUAUUAUCUUUGGGAGUGAGAAGGUUCCUGGCCACCACUGCAGCGGUCAUAUCAUUCUUCAUCACAGAAUCCCCAACGGUAAGAGGACCAGUAGGGGAUAUGAAGGAUGGGCGCCAUAUGUUGUUUGGAGAAGGCGUGGCUGUCUCUUCUCCAAGGUUCAAGUCAAAACGACGGUCGGAGGGUCCAGACAUUUUCAAAUGUGUUGAAGAAGGAAGAGGUCAAACAAAUCAAGAUCUUAGAAGUGCAAGAAAUGAGCUUCUACUGGUAGAGAUUCAAGUGUGCUGUGGAACUUAAUGUCAGCCUCUAUAAAAAUCUGCACUCGACGGAGCUUCAGAAAUCGAAGAGGCGUUUGCUUUCUCAAAAGCUGGGCUGCUCAGAGACCACGAGGGCCGAUCUCAGAAAUCGAAGAAGCACCUGCUUUUUCAGCCUCGUCAGCACCUGUCACAUGCACAAUCAGCUUUGCGGAAAUUACAGGCACUCUGUCAAAGAUUUCUGGUGAAGUAGAAAGCACGUGAAUCUUACUGUUCAAUCACCGCUCUCCAUAUGCACCAUCAACUCCUCGGGUACCACAUAUAACUUUGUCAAAGAUCUCUGACAAAGUUUAGGCACGAGAAUUUCGAAGUUCCAGCUACCCUACUAUUACCCAUAAGGGUAAAGGAACAGCACCACUGCUUGACAACUGGAAAGUCCCUAUGUGUGUCGACCUCCGUGUUUUUGCGGCAAGACACAGAUUGGCAAGAACGUCCAACCUUUACUCACAUUCGAGAAAAGACUCCCAACAUAAUUACUUUCUCAAAAACCGGAGUAGCACCGCUUUCCGAAUCUCGAGAGUCAGAUCCUCGACGGGAUUGCUUGUUCGAAAACCGAAGAGGCACAACUCUCAGAACUUCGAAAGCCAGAUUUCCUUAGAUAAAGCUUGUCUAUAAUCUUCACACGUAACAUCAGCUUUCCAGAUACCACAUACCACUUUUUCAAAGUGCUCUGACAAAAUUAAAACACGUGAAGCUGGCAGCUCCCACUACAUUGCUGUGACCAAGAAGGGUAAAGGAAUAGCAUUACUACUUGUUAUUGGGAAAUCCCUAUAUACAUUGACCUCCCUCCUCAACGGACAGGCAAACCUGCAAAAAUGCUCAACCCUUUCUCGCAUUCGAAAAGGCACCCUCAACAUAACCUCUCGAAAUACUCAGCUUUAUUUCCCCCCGAUAAUACCUCAGCAAAUAAGCCACACCAAGAACAAGAGUAUCUCAUAUCAUCAGGGUCGAAAGCAAGAGUAUCCCAUAUCAUGCUUUCUCCCUGUCUUUGUCUUUGUCCUUGUCCACACCUGCAGGACAAGGAGAAAGAGAGCAGUCAGUCGAAACCUGAAAUCAAACCUCCAAUUUAGAACUGACUGCCUGGAGCCUUUGCCUGGUUGCUUACUUAGCAUUGCUCUCGAGUACUCAUCCUCAACUGCUGUCAAGGUCACGAAUUCCACCGGCAAAUACCUCAUGACAGUUGAUCAGAUAUUGGCUCUUUACACUGAAGCUGCCAAGCGGGGAUGAGUCACUACGAAGGAAUGUUCUGAAGGACCAUUUAAAUGCAAAGGUUGCACACCACUUCUGCCAUGCAAAAGAUUGAAGCAGAAGGUUCAACGGUGGGCUGAAACAGAUCACUACAGCACGACACCUUUCCAUACCACAUUCAUUAUUCCGUCAACAGCAAAAGUAUCCCAUAUCAUCAAGGUCGAACGUACUAUAGAUUUGAUGGACUUGUUUUGACCCUCAAAUUUUUGAGUCGGCCUUAUACUCUGAAGGGCACCAGAAAACCCUCCAGCACAGUUCAAGAAUAAGCCUGUGGAAAGUUACUUCUUCAAAAGCAAAAGUAUCUCAUAUCAUCUCUUAUCCAUUUGCUUCUCCUUAUCCUGGCAGUUGAAUGAGAGACAAGGAGAAGGAGAACAAUCAACCGGAAGCCGAAGUCAAACCUCUGAUCCUGGGUUGCUUACUUGGAAGUUUGACUGCUUACCUUGUCUGUCACCUCUUUCGGCAGAUCUCCUAGCUCGGCGACUUGGGGGACUCCUACUAUAGGGUUUGUAUCACACUUGACUAAGCCCGAAACUACAACUAAGCUUCAAGUGAAAUUGAUACAUUACCUUGUGCGUCAACAUCAGCUAAGUACACCAUUCCCGGAUGGAGGAAAGGUACUUCCAGAGAAGGGCAGAUGAAGAUCAGACCACACUUCGGUACUUAGAAGUUUCGUGAUUACUCAAGGGAUUGGAUCUUGCAAGUCCCCAACCGAGGAGUUUCCCUCACUCGGGAACUUAGGGGAGCACUGUUUGUACCAUACUUGACCAAUCCCGAAACUACCGAGCACCGGCCAACGCUAUACUGUCAAGGACCCAGAAGAGUUCCCCUCCGACCAGGAGGCCAAUCACUACUCGACACGUGUCAAGAUUAGAAGCCAAUCAGAGCGCAGCACGUGUCGACAUCAAGAACCAAUCACAACAUGACACAUGUCAAUGUGACAAAGCUACAAGUUUUUCUAUAAAUAGGGGUCAUUCCCCCACAAUAUUGCCUAAUGCCAUUUGUGUUAAAUCAUUCACAAGAACUCACUAAAUUGAGAGCUUGAUCCUUUGUACUUGUGUAAGCCCUUCACUACUAAUAAGAACUCCUCUACUCCGUGGACGUAGCCAAUCUGGGUGAACCACGUACAUCCUGUAUUUGCUUCUCUGUCUCUAUUCAUUUACGUACUUAUCCUCACUAGUGACCGAAGCAACCAAGCGAAGGUCACAAAACCUGACACUUUCUGUUGUACCAAAGUCUUCGCAGAUUUUGUGCAUCAACAAAUCGAAUUACUUGAAAGGCACACAAUAUGAUUUUAAGUUAUGAAUCGAAUUACUUGAAAGACACAAACUGAUUGGCUCUUUGUUCAACUCAGUUUGUAAUUCCCACAUAGAUAUGUCUACAUAAAUGUAUCGAAGACUACAAAAAUAAAUGAAUAGAAAGGAAAUAAUGUUAAAUACUUAGAAAAUAUCCAACUACAAAGUAAUAACUUGAAAGAAAUGCAAAAUACAAGAGAUACACAGACAUGUUUGGACCCAUUCGGGCAAACUUUCUUGCUAGUCAGGCAAGUUUGUGCAGGUUGUUGAAGUGAUUUGAAAAGAGUUUUUCUUACAGGGAAUAAAUACUACAUGCAAUGUAGCACUCUAGAUGUCUACAAUGAGACAUCUAAUUCUAAUUUUCUCAAUUAAAUAUCCAAUAGUACUAGAGUAAAAUAAGGGCAUUCGGACUUUGUCUACCGCCUUUGUCGGGAUGGAUGUAGAAAAAUGAUUUCUGAUAAAUAUAAAGAGUAGGGCCGAGGUUGGACCUUUACUCUUUACUAAUGUGUUGUGUGUAUAUAUAGCACUACUCUAAAUUACUCAUUCCUCACAUCCAUCACCUACUCCAUAUCUAUAUGGCGAGAGUCAUGAGACUUGUUUCCCUACUCACCUUUCUUCUAUCCAUUGCGUCUUUUACACUUGCCUUAUGCAAUCGAAACCUUAAUUCACCACCUUGCAAAGAAAAUGAGAGACGAGCACUUCUUAUGUUCAAGAAAGAUCUCAAUGAUUCUUCAAAUUUGCUUUCCUCUUGGGCUGGUGAAGGCGAUUGUUGCAAUUGGACCGGUGUUGCCUGCGACAAUUUAACCGGUCAUGUCCGUGAGCUCCACCUUGCUGGUAAUUAUGAUGAAGAGAUUGGUGAGUUUCAUAGGCUGGGUGGUAAGGUAAAUCCUUCUCUACUCAAUUUAAAGCAUCUCAGCUACUUGGACUUAAGCCGCAAUAAUUUUAAAGGACUGCAGAUUCCCAGCUUUUUGUGUUCUCUUAAAGGUUUAAGAUAUCUUGAUCUCUCGAGUGCAGGGUUCAGCGGAACCAUUCCUCAUCAGUUGGGAAAUCUCUCGAGCCUACGAUAUCUCAACCUUUUUGAAAACUAUGGUUUGAUGGUCGAGAAUCUCGAAUGGCUAUCUGGUCUUUCUUUGUUGAGACAUCUUGGCAUGGGCUAUGUAGAUCUUACCAACGCAUCUCAUUGGUUACAAGUAAACACAUUCCCUUCUCUGCUGGUCGAUUUGCAUUUGCCAAGUUGCGAACUUCAUCACAAGCCAAGUGGUAUUGCGAACUUGACAAGUCUUAAAGUUCUUGAUCUAUCCGAGAACUAUUUCAACUCUAUCAUACCUACAUGGUUGUACAGUUUGGGCCAUCUUGAGUCCCUCGAUCUUUCUUACAAUGCUUUUCAUGGUGAAAUUUCGAGUUCCCUUGGAAACUUGACAGCCCUUGUUCAUCUUAACUUAGCUGGUAAUCAACUUAAAGGGGAAAUCCCAA